CAUCCAAAGAUACAUUAUAUAUUUCUGUGUCUCUAUUUGUAGAUGACAUUUAAGCAUCCAUAAACCGUCAGACAGAGGAAGGGCGUUCAGUGCAAAGAUUCUGUUGACCUAGGGUUGACUGCAUAAUGUCACUUGUUCGCAAUCUAUUAUUUAUUUCAUAUUUUGAAGAAUUUAAUGGGUAAUCCUAAUUGUUUGUUUUGGCAGGUAUGUGUUGUUAUCUCCUUCUAUCUAACAGUCGUACCUAAAUAGCAUAGUUCCAAAGAGGUAAAUUAUUGUCAUGCCUAGAUAAUUUGGCCAUUUCCUAAUUCAUAAGUCUACAUUAAUUUUGAUUUUGAGUUGACUGAUUUCUUUUCAAGGUCUGCUUCCUUAACGGAGUGACCAAUGUUUUUCAACUAAAUUUAUCAUAUGAUGCAGGAAACAGGGCAGGAUAUGAAAUGAGAAGCUCAUUGGUGGAAGUAUUGCCAGUAGCAGAACCCAAUGAAAAUGAAACUAUUUCAAGGCAGCAGUUGGCAGUUGCAAGUGAAUGGAGGCCCUUGACAAAAUUCUCAAGCGAUUGCAAUGCAAUUACGAUCAUCCUCAGCCUCAGGUAAUGUCUUUUAUUGGUACCCAACAAAAAUGCAAGGUCUGUGAGAAGACAGUUUGUCCAGUUGAGCAGUUAUCUACUGAUGGGGUUGUUUAUCACAAGUCUUGCUUCAAGUGCUCUCACUGCAAAGGCACACUCAAGCUAAGCAAUUACUCAUCCCUGGAAGGUGUUCUUUACUGUAAGCCUCACUUUGAGCAGCUUUUGAAGGAGUCGAGUAACUGCAACAAGAAUUUCCAAUUACCUGCAAAGUCAGCUGAGAAGUUAACUCCUGAGCUGAGAAGGUCGCCUAGCAAAGUUGCCAGCAUGUUCUCUGGGCCCAAUAAAAAUGUGCUUCUUGCAGUAAAACAGUGUGUCCGUGGGAGAAGGUAGCAGCGGAAAAUCAAGCCUCUCACAAGACAUGUUUCAAGUGCUCACAUGGUGGUUAUUCCAUUAGCCCGUCAAAUUACGCAGCCCUAGCAGGCAUCUUGUAUUGCAAACAUAAUUUCUCCCAAUUGUUCAAGGAAAAAGGCAGCUACAACCACCUUAUAUCAAAUCUGCUCCCAUGAAGCGUGCUGCAGUCUCUGUUCAAGAAGCUUGAACAUGUUAUGUUAUCUUCCAUAAAUCUUAUUUGGCGUGGGUUUUCUCUGGCUUGAGGGUGUGCUUUCUAUUUUGAUCCCUCUUGUUGUUUUUGCGGGGAACUACCAAACCUUCGGUUCCCUCUGCUUCUUUGGAUCAUCUUUGUUUGGACAAAUUUCAUGUAAUUAGAGAUACCGAUUUAUGGGAGGCAUAAUCCCAUGGUCGUAAAUUGACCAUUUUCUGGCAAGUUCUUUUUAAAAAGAUAUGAGCAGUUGUUUAAAAAAAAAAAAAUAGCUUGCCUUCAUCAUUGUAUGUUACCAAACUGCUAUGUAUAGCUGUUAACUAUGAGCAUCCGAAAAUAUGGUGCAUCGUGAUUCAUGUAGUGCAAUAUGGCUACCAACGCAUCCUAAAUGGAAUAUUACUCAGUUAGUCAGCAAAAUAAGACAACAUAACUGAUAUUAAAAAAAUAAAAACUACAUUAAUAAGUGGGCAAGAUCAUGCCAGUUUAACUUUUCGCGAGUCGCUGCUGGAGAUAAUCAAAUCGGGGCAGAGAAAAGGAGAAUGGAAUCAGAGGCUAAGAUUAAUAAGUGGGCUUCUGCUUGCUUUGCCCCUCUUUCUUAAACGAUUGGUAGACUGCUGCUUCCACCGAUUAACCGGGUCUUCAACCACUGCUUUUACUGCCUGCCAUCUUGUUGUUUGUCGAAGGGAUGAAUUCGAGUCGAAAAGAGAAAGCGCGCUGAAAAAGAUAAAUCACUAGUGGUUAACUGCUGACUCAGCCAAGUGUUGGCUUCACUUGAUUCACCGAUUGAGGUUAUUUUGUCUUCUAUCUAAUGCAGCGAAGAAGCUUUGCUGCUUAACAUGCUGCAAUGCAACUUUAUCCUUUGAAGUUCACACUUCAGGGCUGCGCACUUUAUGUAAUCCUAUGAGUAAAAAGAAUUUGUUUUCAAAUGUGAAAAAAGAAAAUGUAAGGUAGUAACUAAUAUAUUAUAGCAUCAAAGCAAGAUUUGAUAUGAAUUUAGUACAACAAAGAACAUCAAAUCUGUGAUUCCUUGUCUAAUGUCACCAUCGAGCAACAAAUUUAAAAGCCUACCUAUCAAAUACACGAGGCAAUAAACGGAGAAAAAGUUGAAUUACAAGAACAAGUUUACAAUUCUUGUCAAUGGUUAAUGAUUCGUGAACUGAGAUAGCAUUCAAGAAUCCAAUUUCAAUACAACAACGUAAAAGAUAAACAGAUGAUGAAUUUUAUGAGAUAAAGAAGGAGAUCGUGUUUUAUCGUAUCUCUAUUUUCUUUCUUUUUAAAUUUAAAAUAAGCUUUUCAACCGGUUUAUUAACCGGUUAUAAUAUUUUUUAAAAUAAUUAAAUAUUUUCAUUAUUAAAAAUAAUGUGUACCGUUGAUUACAUCUAACGGUACAUAUUUCUUACACUACUAAUACGGUAAAAAAAAAAAAAAGGGCAUCAUAAAGGGACCCUUAAAACAUUUUCAUUUGAAAUUAUUUGGUGUAGUCAAAAAGUUAAGAAAGAAAUAGUUGUCCCUUUGGUCAUUUCACAAAAAUGAAAGCCCCAUAUAACAUGGACUUGAAUGGAAACCCAAUUGUUUGUGUUUGAUUUCAAGCUUUAUCGGACCUUUGGACCUGGAUACUUUACUGCGGCCUCUAAGCGCUAUAAAUUUGUUUUUUGGGAUAAAAGGCGCUUCAAUGAAAAAGCACUUUAAAACUUUGGAUUUUGCCAAAACUUCAAAGCGGUUGGUCCAGUUACGGUGUUAUGCUAACGGGUUUAAAGGUUCCGAUCCAAUGAGUUAGGGUGGAAUAUGAAUAUAUAAAUUCCAUAGCAUGUAAGGACUAGGAUUUGUUUGUUCAUAUUAAGAAAAAAGAUCUAAAAAUUUGAUGAUCAGAAGAAAAUAGACUCUUCUCUGUCUGAAUAAGAAGAAAGCAUAAUGCGCCUCCAAUAGAGAGAAAAGGGACUUAAUUUCACUUGCGUCAAAUGUUCCUCAUUCUUUGAUGGAAGAAAAACUCUUAAUAGUCUAUUGUUUUUUUUUUUUUCAUUUUUAUUUAAGUUUCACAAUAUUUUAGUAGUUGAUCAAAUUAUUUAGAAUUAGACAUUUAAUCUAGGGACAAUGUGAACUUUUUAAAAAUCUAUCAGGUGAUUUCAUAAUUUUAUAAUUCAGUUGGGGUAAUUUCUCAAACUAUAAACAAAUUAUCGUGUUUUGUAAGUUGAGGUCCAAUGGCGUUUUGGCACAUCAUAUGAUAGACCACUAUAUUGAGUUGCUUUACAAAAGAUUAAUAUUUUUAAAAUUAUUAGGUAAGUUUAGGCUCAGUGGCACUUUAACUCAUGAUAUGAUAGUCCGGGUUUUCGAGGACCACUAUAUUGUAUUGAUUUAAAAAAAAAAUUAAUAUUUUUUAAUAUUAAUAUUCUAAAUUAUAUUCAGUUAAAAUAUUAAAUAUUAAAUACAUUCUUAAUAUUAAUAUUCUUAGAUGAAAUUCUUUUGCUGACUUAAGAAUAAAAUAUUAAAUAAUUUUAUUUUUCUUUUAUUGUGUAACGUGGACCCAAAAAAAAAAGGAAAUGAAUUUAAUAAAACCUUCAUUCCGCCAACAUGCAUGUUAAUUGUUUCCAAAUUCCAACCUCCGUACUCUCUUGAGGAGUUUCCCAUUCAUCAAUUAUUAUUUUUUAUAAUCCAUACCAUCCUGAUAUAAUUAAACACCAUUAAUAAUGUACCAGCCUUUAAAUAGUAAUUAAUUUAGUUCUGAGAAGGAAAAAAAAAACAAAAAAACUACUUUGACCAGAAAAAUUCCCCGUUCUAUUGCCUAUAUAUGAACUGAGCUGUGCAAUUGAUCAAUUUCAAAAACUUCCUCAGCUGACCAAUUUUGAGCAAUUACUACAUAACAUAAAACCAAAUGCUGGAUGAAUUGGCAUCUCUGAAAACCCCAGCUCACACGUACCGACAGAAAGAGACUCUAGAUGUAUUCAAACAUUAAAUAACUGCAUAUGCUCUUCAAAAGAUGGAAGGAACCAUGGAUUAAAAAGAAGCAACCAUCUAAACAAGAACUUAUAUUAAAAAGCAAAGGAAGUAACACAUUAAAUUGAGAAGUGUGAUCAUCACUAUGAAGCUUCUAUAAGUAAUUUAAGAAUAGUAAUAAAAAACUAUUCUAAUAUAAGUAAUAAAUAUGGGAGACAUCUUUGGCUAAUAUGUAAUAAUAAUCUCGAGCAGCAGACGGACUCUUAUUUGCUCCAAUUUGAAUGGUGGUGUUAAGCAAUUUAAAUGUGAAGCCACUCGAGGCUCUGAUUGUGACAGCGGAAGCUAUACAGGCACGGCAUCAGAACAAGAAGAAGGAGCCGAACAACAUAUUUCAGUUCUCAAGAGAAGAAUAGAUUCUCAAACAAACUUCAAUUUUGAGAAGAAGAAGAAGGAUUCAUUAUCAUGGCAAGCUCAAAAAUGCAUUGGUAGAUUUUUCUACGAAAUGGGUAUUGAUUUCAGUGUUGCUAAUUCUCCAAGCUUUCAAGACAUGAUAAAUGCUAGCCGUGGUAAGGAAAAGUGUGAGAUCCCCAGUUGUCAGGAUUUGAAGGGGUGGAUCCUUCAUGAAGAAGUGAUGGAAAUGCAAGAAUAUGUGAAGAGGAUAAGACAUUCGUGGGAAAGUACUGGGUGCAGCAUUUUGUUGGAUGGAUGGACUGAUGAAAAUGGUCGAAACUUGGUCAGUUUUAUUGUGGAUUGUCCUCAGGGACCUAUUUAUCUGCGAUCAUCAGAUAUUUCAGCCUUCGUUAGUAAUGUUGAUGCCCUGCAGUUAUUAUUGGAUGGAGUCAUUGAGGAGGUUGGAGUGAAUAAUGUUGUUCAAAUUGUUGCAUGUUCUACAUCAGGUUGGAUGGGGGAUGUGGGCAAGCAGUUUAUGGAAAGGCGAAGGACAGUGUUUUGGACUGUAAGUGUGUUUGAUUGCAUUGCUCUGAUGCUUGAGAAGAUUGGUACGAUUGAUUUUGCUAGGGAGAUAUUAGAAAAGGCCAAGACCAUUACAAAGUUCAUUCAUGGCCACACAACGGUCUUGAAACUCUUUGGAGAUUUUACUGGCAAGCGGAACCUUAUCAAGCCCUCUAAGUUGAGAUCAGCAAUGCCUUUCUUGACUUUAGAAAAUAUUGUGGCGGAAAAGAAAAACCUUAAGGCCAUGUUUGCCUCAUUUGAGUGGAAUAGAACUAAAUGGGCUUCAAGAACAGAGGGGAAGAGGAUAGUUAAUUUAGUGGAGGAUCGUUCUUUUUGGAGCACAGCCAGGAUGGUCCUAAAGGCAACUAUACCCCUUGUGCGUGUUCUGUGUUUGAUCAAUGGGGCUUAUAAACCACAAGUGGGUUACAUCUAUGAAACCAUGGAUCAAGCAAAGGAGACAAUUAAAGAGGAAUUUAAGAACAAGAAAACCCAAUAUUGGCCAAUUUGGGAAAUUAUUGAUGACAAAACGCUAUUUCCGCAUAUUAUUAUUAUCAGAUUGUGUCUAAUGUCAGAUAUUGCCGACCACCUACAAUGCCACACAGAGAACCGCUACAAAUUCCUGUAACUUCCUUCCUGUACUAAAAUUAAAGGAGUACCCCAUCCUCUGCAGUAAAUACAUAGUCCUACUUACGGUUCCUUGUUACUUCCUUUGCUUUUUCAUCUGCAGUAAAUAAGAUAAAGGUGUCUCCCACAGUUGAAGACGGACCCUUGUUGCCAAAGAAUAGUAAUAAAAAAUAAACCACUUUCAUCUUGUACUGAAGUCUAUACUUAAGCUUCUAUAAGUAAUUUAAAAAAGCAUUUACCAUUUUAAACAUCAUAAUGAUACAAUUAUCUUAGUUUUAUCAGUAUAUAAGAAUUACUUAUAGAAUAGUAAUAUAUGUUUAUAUUUAAAUUAGUACAAUUUUAUAUUGAUAAUAAUAAUAAUUUUCAAUUGAAAGUGAAACCUUUAGACAUUUACCUAAUGAAGUUAGUUAAUCGGGAGGGUUGGAAAAAAAAAAAGUUGACGCAAGUCAAUACACAAUAAUUAAUUAAAUCCGGAGUGACUAAAACAGAGCCACUACUUUUUCAAAAAUAUCUGCAUUCAUCACUUUCUCCAGCAGCUAGUCAGCUACACACGAAUCAAUUUCUCUCCUCGUUUGUUGUCAUCCAAAAUUGUUCACCAAUACCAUGGCUGAUGCAAUCGUUUCCACUAUCUUGGAGCAGCUGAUUUCCUUCGCUGCUGAAGAGAUAAAACAACAGGUGAUCGAAGUUACACCCCUCAUAUUACAAAUACUUCCAAUGAUUUUAAUUGGUUUUGUUUUUAUCAAAAACAUUAUAUAUUUUUGCUUUUUUUUAUUUAUCUGAUAAUUUUAUAUUUUGAAAUUUGAAUUGAAUUUAAUUAAAAGGUGAUGUAGUGACCACUUAUUUUUAUUUUAUUUCAUUUAUAUUCUCAAUAACUACUCAUAUUUUGGUAACUUACUAUAACUUCCAUAUCUAAGAAAUGAUCCAAACCCACAAUUUUAAUGAUAAGAUUGGUUGAAUUAAAUAUCACUUGGCCCACAUGAUUUGUUUUAAUUAUUUUAUAUUUUCAUUCAACCAAUGAAUUAGUGCCACGUCAGUUUGUACAAAAUAAGUUUGUACAAUAGUUUGUGGUUGUAUCAUUACUCUUUAGUAAAGAGUAAUGAUAUAGCCACAAACUCUUGUACAAACUUAUUUUGUACAAACUUAUGUGGCAUGAUAAGAUUGGUUGAAUUAAAUAUCACUUGGCCCACAUGAUUUGUUUUAAUUAUUUUAUAUUUUCAUUCAACCAAUGAAUUAGUGCCACGUCAGUUUGUACAAAAUAAGUUUGUACAAUAGUUUGUGGCUGUAUCAUUACUCUUUAGUAAAACCUCAACUCAUCACUGAAUCCCAUAGCUAUUACUUAGACUCUAUGAAAAAUUUCAUAGUUUUCUUACAUUCUUUCAGUUUGGUAAGUGAUUUCAUAUAAUUUCUUUUCAAGUUAAAUUUUAAUUUGGUUUCUGAUAUAGUCUCUUUGCCGAAUUGUAUCUUUUAUGAUUCUUGGAUUUUGGGCUCCAACUUUUUAGGAUUUGAUAGUCACAUUUUAUGCCAUGCUCAGAUUGAUUUUCAUGAUUUUUAGUACCCGUUAAGUGACGUACAAUUUGACAAAAGUUUGAAAGGAAAUAUGUUUCAGAAUUCUGUUUUAAUUGACCUUUUAGUGGAAAUAGGAUGCUUAUAACUUAAUGUGGAUGGUUCGUAAAAUCAUGAAAUUUGGAUAGGAUUCACUAGCAAUAUGUACAAGACUCUCCAUAAAGUUUCAUAAUUUUUCAUUCGGUCUGGGGUGGUACAGGUGAAACUUGUGGUUGGUGUUGAAAAAGAAGUGAAAAGCCUUACCAGCCAUCUUCAAGCCAUUCAAGUUGUGCUCGAUGAUGCAGAGGAAAAGCAAGUGAAGGAAAAAGCUGUUAGUCUUUGGCUGGGUAGGCUCAAGUAUGCAUCCUACAACAUUGAAGAUGUGUUGGAUGAGUGGAUAACAACAAGACGCAAAUUGCAAAUUGAGGGUGGCGUUGAUGAAAAUGCUCUUGUUGUUCCUCAUAAGAAAAAGAAGGUAUGUCUCUGCUUUCCCAGCUCUUGUUUUGGAUUCAAACAAGAAGAAUUUGGUUUCAAACAAGUCUUUCUCCGCCAUGACAUUGCCGACAAGAUCAAAGAAAUCAAUGAAGAGCUCCAUGAUAUUGCCGCUCAAAAAGACAUGUUUGAUCUUGUUAAGAGUGGCAAUAAAAGUAGUGAAAGACCAAGGCGUGUACAGAGUACCUCCUUGAUUGAUGAGGAAGAGAUUUGUGGCAGAGUUGGUGAGAGGAAUGAACUCUUAAGCAAGCUGUUGUGUGAGGGUAGCGAGCAACAAAAAGGCCUUCAUAUCAUCUCAAUCGUUGGUAUGGGAGGCAUAGGGAAAACAACUCUUGCACAACUAGCUUGUAAUCAUGACGAGGUGAAGAGAAAGUUCGACAAAAUUCUGUGGGUGUGUGUAUCAGAAACUUUUGAGGAGUUUAGGGUUGCCAAAGCGAUCGUUGAAGUUUUGGAUGGUCGUGAAUCUCAUUUAGCUGAAUUCCAUUCUCUUCUUCAACAUAUUUAUGAAUCCAUUGCAGGGAAGAGCUUUCUUCUUGUCUUAGAUGACGUGUGGGAUGGAAAUUACUUGAAAUGGGAACCAUUCUACCGUUGUCUAAAGAAUGGUCUCCAUGGAAGUAAAAUUUUAGUUACCACACGUAAAGGGUCAGUUGCAUCCAUGAUGGGAUCCAUAGAUAUUAUCUCCGUUAAGGAGUUAGCUGAAGAGGAAUGUUGGUUGUUGUUUAACAAGAUAGCAUUUUUUGAUCGGUCCAUCGAGGAACGUGAAAAAUUAGAACAAAUUGGGCAAAGAAUUGGAGGCAAGUGCAAAGGUUUACCUCUUGCAGCAAAGACAAUAGGGAGUCUCAUGUGUUCUAAACAAACUGAAGAAGAGUGGAAAAGAAUUUUAAAUAGUGAUUUAUGGAAAGUAGAAGAGAUUGAGAAAGAUGUUUUGUCCUCUUUAUUGUUGAGUUAUAAUGAUUUGCCAUCUAGAGUAAAAAGAUGUUUUUCAUAUUGUGAUGUCUUUCCAAAAGACUACAAUAUAGAAAAAGACAAACUAAUCACGUUAUGGAUGGCUCAAGGUUAUCUUAGUGCAGAAGAAGAUGAAGAGAUGGAGACAGUAGGUGAAGAGUAGUUUGGCAUCUUAGCUUCUCGCUCAUUUUUUCAAGAGUUUAAGAAAAGUUAUGAUAAUCGGAUUAUAGAGUGUAAGAUGCAUGAUAUGGUACAUGAUUUUGCCCGAUUUGUAAGUCAAAAUGAAUGUUUUUCGAUGGCAAUUAAUGGUAGUGAAGAACCAAACGCCACAAACUCUCUUGAUGAGAAGGUCCGUCAUUUAAUGUUAAUCUUUAGUAUAGAGGCUUCAUUACCUGUUUCCACUUGUAGAGUUAAAAGAAUUCGUAGCCUCUUAAUUAACGAUAGUAGAUCUGAUCAUUCAUUAUUAAAUGGUGAGAUCUUAGAAGAAUUAUUUAGGGAAUUGACAAGUUUAAGGGCAUUAGAUUUUUGCAAAUCGUAUAACGCAAGUUGGUCUUCGACUCUGGAGAUUCCGAGAAACAUAGAAAAGCUGGUACAUUUAAGAUACCUUAAUUUGUCUUAUCAGGGAAUAAAGAAACUACCGGAGACAUUAUGCGAGUUGUAUAAUCUAGAAAAGUUAGAUAUUAGUUAUUGUUAUAAGCUAGAAGAAUUACCUGAAGGGAUUGGGAAGUUAAUAAACAUGAAGCAUUUACGAAAUAGAGGUACUAGUUCUUUAAGGUACAUGCCAGUAGGGAUUGGGAGAUUAACGGGUCUUAGGACCUUGGGUGAGUUCCACGUGAGUGCAGGAGGAGGUGUUGAUGGUAGGAAAGCAUGUAGGCUUGAAUCUCUUAAAAACUUGGAACACCUUCAAGUAUGUGGUAUAUGUAGACUGGGUGAUGUAUCAGAUGUGGGCGAGGCUAAGCGAUUAGAACUUGACAAAAAGAAAUACCUCUUCAGUUUGACCCUUGAGUUUGAUAAGACGUAAAGAGGAGGAGAAAGGAGGAAGAACGAGGACGAUCAACUUCUUCUUGAAGCCUUGCGACCACCCCUGGAUUUAAAGGAAUUAGAGAUACGGUACUACCGAGGCAACACUGUUUUCUUCCAUGUUGGAAUUGGAGGAGUGGGAUUAUGGGAUUACAAGAACGGGAAACACCGUCAUCAACAUCAUGCCACGUCUUUCUUCCUUGGAAAUUGUUGCCUGCCCCAACUUAAAGGCGCUGCCCGACCACAUUCAUCAAACGACAACAUUGAAGGAAUUGCGCAUUGUGCAUUGUGGGCUUCUGGAAGAACGUUACCGCACGGGGGAAGGAGAAGAGUGGCCUAAGAUAUCACACAUUCCCAGCAUAGAUAUUGAUUAAGAAGGAGAAGAGUGACCUAAGAUAUCUCACAUUCCCAACCUUGAGAUUUGGCCUUGACAAGUAAUUCCUUCUCUCACUCUGAUUUGCUUUGUUGUUCUUUUUAAUCUAAUCAAGAAGCAUAAAUAGCAUUUUGAAUUAAACUCUAUAUCAGAAAUCUGCAAUACAUAUUUACUAAUAUUCUGAUUUUCAUAUCUUAUGAAUGUACGAUUCUAAUUUGCGAUAUUUAACGUUGCUGUAAAAUAUUAUUAAUGCAAUAUGAGAAAUUCUUUUGCAGGACAAGUGACCUACGUUUAGUUUGGCUUUGGAGUUGAGUAAUAACCUUUCGAGGUCGCCACUAUAAAAACGCGAAGCUCCAUUUGCCACAGAUUACAUGUAUUGCCAUCAUUGACAAUUUUCUGGAUAAGUGAUGAAGGGUGAGAAUGGUGCUAGAAUAUUGAAUAAAGCUGUCGUGACUGAACUUACGUUGAUGUCAAAAGGGGUAAAUUAUUGGCAUGCCUAGCUAAUUUGACCAAUACCUGAUUCAUAAGCCUACAUCAAUUUUGAUUUUGAGUUGAGUGAUUAAUUUUGAAGGUUUGCUUACUUAACUGGUAACCAAUUUCUUUUAACUAAAUGUAUCAUAUGAUGCAGGAAGCAGGGCAGGAUAUGAAAUGAGAAGCUUAUUAGUGGAAGGAUUAUCAGAAACAGAACCCAAAGAAAAUGAAAACAUUUCAAGGCAGCAGUUGGCAGUUGGCCGUGAAUGGAGCCCCUUGAAAAAAUUCCCAACCCAUUGCACUGCAAUUACGAUCGUGAGUAUGAUUGCACUGCAAUUUCGAAGCUUCUUCUCCUGCAUUUUUGUUAUUUGCUAUCAUCCUCUGCUUCAGGUGAUUUCUUCUCCUGCUCUGUCGUUGUUUGUAUCUCAAUCAAAUUCUAUAACUGGAAUAUGCAAAAGUUUCGAAUUUUUAUUUCUAUCUGCUUGCAUUGAUAACAUCGCGGCAUAUGCACUAGUUAAAGAUCAAACAGAAACAGAGCUCAGGAAAAAGUUUCUUCUGCCAUCAUAUUUGAAAAUUCAUGUAAAAUGUAGACAGUAAUCAGCAAAAAGGUGAUUCGCAAUUUGAUUUUUUUUAUGAAAUUAAUUGUUAGGUUGGAGUUGCCAAUUAACAAUUUUAACCCCCUUUGACUUUGAAGGAAUUAGAGAUAUGGUCAUACAGAGGCAACACUGUUUCUGCAAGUAGUCCUCUCUUUUCUUUUUAUUAUAUUUUAUUUAGUUAUUAUUUAUUAUUUAUUUUUUGGUUUACUCUGCUUCUUCUUUUUACGUUUCUCAAAUUUUGAAUUUCAUUGCUUUUGAACAUACGACAGUCUGUUAUGUGGCGACCCUGGUUCUUAAUUAAGGUUGUGAAAUAUUAUUGUAAAAGAUGAUUUAUUCAAUUUGAGUAAUUCGUUUGCUUUGAUAAUGAUAGUAAUUUUUUAUUUUGACAAUUUGCAAGGUGAGAAUGGUGCUGAUUGGUGAUUCAGGAUAUGGUUCAAACACCAUUGAAUAAAGCUAUGGACAUGGUGGCUCAACUUAGCUAGAUUGCUAUCAAAAUUGGUAAGUUGGCUUGUCAAUGUACCGAUGCUUUUGUUUUCUCUCAACCCUAAUUACCUUAACUUCAUUUAGUUUGGCUUUGGAGUUGAGUAAUAACUUAUUGUUCAAAUGUUAUUUCCUUAUUGUUCUAAUUCAUCAAAUGUUAUUUCCUUGUUGUUCCAUUGAUAUAUUGGUUGCAUAUCAAGCAGAAACAGAAUCCAAAGAAAAUGAAACCAUUUCCAGGCAGCAGUUGGCAGUGAAUUCAUGCAAAUGUUGAUGCCAUUCAUAGAUGUUGAAGACAAUGUUGAGCCAAAGGCGAUAAAUCAUUAAUGCAUAAUUCCCAAAACCUCUAUCCUUCUCUCAUUGUAAUUUGAUUUGAAAUGAAUAAUUGCUAGGUAAUUGAAGCCAAUGUUGUUAAAGACCGUGUUGAGCUACCCAAGCUAAGAAGUUAGUUGCCAAAAAAUGCAGGGGAUCAAAAGAAGCAUUGCAUUUGAAAAGGCAUGAGAUUCUGGUGGCUACAUGUCAACUCAUAUAUGUUUGAAUAAGUUUGAUGGUUCAAGAUUGUUAGCUUCUGUUUAAAUUUGUGCUACUGCAGUGCUACAAUGCUGCUACUGGGAAAUUUGAAUCCCAUAUUAGACUUUCCUCACAUCAGAAGCUGUGGAUCUUCGGACAUCAGGUUUUUUCACAGUUCUGAAACACUCAGGAUUAAACUCUAUUAAAGUGUUGUAGUUAUCUUGUUGUCAGAAUUCCCAUAUUAUUAUCUUUUUCAUGUAAAAUUAUCUUGUUGUCUUCGCCCAUGAAUCUAAGCUAAAAUUUGAACCAAUUGUUUGCUAUUAUAAAUUUCGUUGUUAAAUGUUAAUUGUGAUGUUGGUGUUGAGUUUCUUUUAAAGUCAGAGAAGCCUGACGAUUGAGUUCCAUGGGAUUCUGAGAAGCAGUAAUAUUUUGAACAAGUGAAGGUUCUUCGUUUUUAAUUACGUUCUGCACUUUUACAGUAUGUGCAGAUGUCUAAGAGGCAGGAUUUUAAUUUCUGUAAUGCUAAAUUUCGCAAAACAAUAAAUAAAUAAAUGCAUGACAGUGACUUCAAGAAUUUAGAUUAUUGAAUUUGGUCAUUUUAAAAUUGUUGGAAUAUUGAACUUAAGUAAUUUUGAUAAACCAGAGCUCAGAAAUGUAGAAUAUAAAUAUUGGAGAUUUGGACUUCAAUCAUUAGAUUUGAAGCUAAAGAGGUAAGCCAUUAAUUACAUCAAAGGAUUUGGAAAAUGGAGGGAUUGGAAAAAGGAAACUUUUUCAUAAACUACAAGCAUUGGGCAGUUUCAUUUGUCCGAUUCAAGAGGAACGUCACAGAAAGGGGUAAAGAAAAGAGUAGCCUAAGAUAUUUAAGACAAUGUUGAGCCAAAGGAAACAUAAAUCCCAACCAUUGCAUGCGAACAUGAUCACAAUAAGGUCAAGAACCUACCAAACCAUUUUUUUGAGAAUUUUCAAUUGAAAGUGAAACCUUUGGACAUUUACCUAGUAAAGUUAGUUAAACGAGAGAAAUAAAGGGGAAAAGAAAAGUUGACUCAAGUCAAUACAGAAUAAUUAGUUCAAUCUGGAGUAACUAAAACAGAGCCACUAUAUUUUCAAAAAUAUCUGCAUUCAUCACCUUCUCCUACAGCUAGUGAGCUAAACACGAAUCAUUUCCUUUUAGCAUUUUUGCAGCAUCAACUUCUCUCCUCGUUUGUCAUCCAAAAUUAUUCACCAAUACCAUGGCUGAUGCAAUCGUUUCCCUUCUCUUGGAGCAGCUGAUUAUCUUUGCUGCUGAAGAGUCGAAACAACAGGGGAAGCUGGUGAGUGUUGGAUGAGUGGAUCACAGCAUGCGCCAAAUCGCAAAUUGAUCAAUGCUCUUGUUGCUCCUUAUCUGAAGAAGAAGGUGCAAAUUGAGAGCUGCAUUGCACUGUCAUAACAUUUAUUGUAAUUUCAUUUGGAGAUUUUAUGGAUAAUGAUUUGGUAGACUUUAUAUGCCGUCUUCUUUCUUUUUGCAGUGAUAUGUUUGUAUUCAAUGUGCUUGUGCUUAUUCUGUGGUUUUUAAAGUAGGUGUUUUUAUGAUAAACUAGGUCUUGUGUAUUGUAUGUACUAUCUAGAGAAGAAUAUUGACUGGUUGCAGUCGAAAUUGGAACCACUUUUGAAAGGUAAGAAGAGGCCAUUUUCCUUCAUUCUAAUGCCAAUAAUGCUGUCAUGAGACUCAUAAAAAAUGUUAAAACAUUAAUGUUUUUGGUAUUUUGCAGAUCAUUAUCUUCUGUUUGAUUUUCCUGGCCAAGUUGAAUUAUUUUUUCUUCAUUCCAAUGCCAAGAAUGUUAUCAUGAGACUCAUAAAGAAGUUAAAUCUCAGGGUAUUGUUACAUCUUGCAUCUAUGAAGGGACUCAAAGAGUUGACAUGAAUUCAUCUUUGUUAUUUUGAUGCCAGAAUUGUGCAAUUCUCAGUUGGUUCCUUUCACAUGCAGUUGACUGCAGUGCAUCUAGUUGAUGCGCAUCUUUGCAGUGACACUGGAAAGUAUGUUAGUGCUUUGCUUCUCUCGUUGUCUACGAUGCUACAUCUGGAACUUCCCCACGUCAAUGUCUUGUCUAAGAUCGACUUGAUUGAGAAUUAUGGAAAGCUAGGUGUGGUUUUAAGUGUCUCCCUCCUACUUGUUUGUUUAGUUUGAAAUAUCAGAUAUUAUCACGAGCUCCUAUCUGCUACGUUUCCUCACCAAUCAAUUACUUUGGGUAUGUUGCAGCUUUUAAUCUCGAGUACUAUACGGAUGUGCAAGAUUUGUCAUAUUUACAGCAUGCUCUGGGUCAGGACCCUCGUUCUGCUAAGUACAGGUUUGAAUUCUAGCUGAAUCAAUGAUGCAAAUUAUGUCCAUUGCUAUUUUUGACUGUCGUUUCUAUCAUUUUCAAUUGUUACCUCCCCUUGCCAUCUACUGCCACACUGCAAUGCCUACACAAAUGUUAUGAAAUUUGUCAAUGGCAAUGCCAUCCUGUUUGUCCAGAGACAGCUCUUAGAUGCAAGUGAACAAUUUUUGGCUUUGGCCGUUGUACAGCCUUAGAUUUCAACUUGCCAUAUCUUGUCUCGGAAGUCAAAAGAAAGCGUAUAUGUUAGCCAAAUUUUAUUUGAAUUUAUUGAGUAACAAUGAAUGGUUCGGAAAAACAGUUCCUCUUUUGUUUUGAUCAGACUCAAUGAAUAAGUGUUUAAAAUGUGCCUGUCCUAGAAAUAUAGAUGUGUGGUUUCGCAAAAUUUUCUUGAUCUUAAGAAAGAGUUAUCUUGAAAAGAAGAUAACAUGGAGAAUUCAGCAACUAUACAGUCAUAUUGCGUCUGUCAACUUGGGUCAGAUGGUGUCGUUUGGAUGGAGAUGUUAGGUCCCAGAUGGUAUGCUUGUUAUCAAAUUCCAGUCUAAUUCAUUCAUGCUUUGAUGACAUAUGCGGUGCAGCUUCUUAUCUAAGACCUGCAUAUGUUCAGUCAUCAUUCAGUUCUGUAUUUGGCUGUCAUUCUUUCAAUGAAUUCAAACCACUUUCUGAAUACUUGCAAAUUCAUCCAGUGUUGUCAUUGAGAUUCCAAUAUGUAAAGGAGCAAUAGUUGCCCUUGAUAGUAUGCUUAUUGAUUGCCUCUUGCCUCACUCAGCCUAAGGAGUCUGGUUGUAUGGUGUUCUUGUAAUUUCAUUUGGAGAUAAGUAAUAUCUGUUGUUCAAAUGUAUUUUAUAUACAAGCAGUUAAUAAUUCUGCUUGCAGAAAGCUUACAAAGGAGCUGUGUGAUGUAAUAGAAGACUACAGUCUGGUCAAUUUUUCAACCUUAGAUAUUCAGGUCAUCAGUUUCUCUUGAAUUCUUUCUUGAGUUUCUUUGAAUUAUUUGUGAAUAAGAUCUUAGUUGGCUGCUCCUCUUCAGGAUAAGGAAAGUUUGGCAAAACUCGUGAAGCUGAUAGAUAAAAGCAAUGGGUACAUCUUUGCUGGCAUGGAUGCCAGGGCAGUUGAAUUCAGCAAGAUUGCCGUUCGCGAUGUGGAUUGGGAUUAUUACAGGUAUCCUUCUUUUCACCUAUUUUCAAUCUUGUGAUUCUCAUAUUCAUAAAACUUUCAUGGUUCAUUGUAUGCAUCUGCAUCUUCUAAUUUGUACGUUUGAGAGACUAAUUUUGCUGUUAGGUAGGCGUCAAAUUUGAUUCAUGCGUUUUUCAUAAAUUUACCAAAAUCAUGGAAACUUCUUUUUCCCAGAUAUUGUAUCCACACUUUUCCCAUGUAAUUCAGUCAGACAAGUUCUGCUUAACAAAGAUAUCUACAGUAGCUGAAGUGCAGGAAAAGUACAUUAAGGAUGAUGACGAUGUUAACUAAAAUGGGACACGAAGAUAUGUGGUGUGCAAACCGUAAGCAUGCCUCUUACUUUUGUGCAUGUUUACUUGCUUGUGAUUCAUGUUUGUUAAUCUAUUAUGCUCUUUUGUUGGGUUUAUAAAGUUUUCAAUCAAUCAAACAUUUGACUGAUUCAGACAGGACAAGCGGGGAAGAGGUGGUUUUAAUCAAACCACUACUAAUUAUGAUGUAUCUCGGACCUUUGUACAAUAUCAAGCGAUUUUUUUAGUUGAAUCAGCUGGUGUACACAAAUGUCGUUUAUUGAUUUUUCUCUAGUAUAGUUCGUAAUUUUGGUAACACAUCUACUCUAGUAUCGUUUGUAAUUACAAGAAACAAAGUAAUGAAAUUUAUCACUGCAUUCAUAGUUAUGCUUAAGCUCAAAGAUCACUGUGAAUAUCAUUUUGGGGCCUCUAUUUGUUCUAUAACAUGAUGUUGACACGUGUCAAAUUUUGAAGCUUGUGAUUAAAAUACUAUUCACAUAUAUAUUUUAAGUACCACUAAUAAUUAAAUAUAUUAAUAAAUAUGGGCAAUGGGGAUAAAAUAAAAUGGUUUUAUUUUUUGAAUUACUCAACUGCUUCAAACUUCUAAGAAGUAGAUUUACGAUGAGUGGAAUCUUAAAUUGAGUACGAGUUAGGGAUAACUUAUAAAAUUGGGAUACAAGCUUCAAAGAAAGUGUAUUACUAUUCAUAUGUAGAUUUCGAAUUAAGAAGAUAUGCCAGCUAAUUGUAUAAGAAUGUAAAAAUUGAUCACAGGCAUAAUCGCAAAUGAUGAAAUGAGCUACCUUGAUCAAAAGGUCAAGAACCUACCUUACUUCUCUUAGGGAUAAGUUGCAUCAACCGUUGUGAUAUUGAUAUUUAUCUUGAGCCAGUAAAAGUGAAAGCUUCCCAAUUGAAGGAAAGUGAAGAGAAGAUUCUAUGCUCUAAUUAUUAUUAUUAUUAUUAUUUGUUAGAAUGAAGUGCGAAGUGAGCACAUCAUGCAAGCUCAGCAGAUGUGAUAAGGUGACUUGUAACUCAGCUGGCACAAGAGACAAAGUGUAGUGGAGAAAAGUUUCCCAAUUGAUGGAAAGUGAAGGGAAGAUUCUAUGCUCUAAUUAUUAUUAUUUGACAAUGAAUUGGCAAAUAAAAACAAAAUAGCAGGCCUGUAAAGUAAUGAAGUGGAGACAAUGACCAUGUGAUUGAUUGGUAAAUAAAAACAAAAGAGCAAGCCUGUAAAGUAAUAUAAAUUAUAGUGUAUAUUCAAGUUAAAGUAAUGGAAACAGUGUGCAUCCACAAAAAAUUCUUUUAUCUCUCGUUGUCUUAUUCUUUUCUUUAUUUACGUUUUCCAGAAGUAAAGCCAUACAUGUGAUGAAGCAUAGAUAAGAAAGCUAUCGCCCGAAAUUCAUUUUGCACAAACACUUCAAUAUCCUUUUGAUCACUUUUGCAAACAUCAAUUUGUCUCCUAUUGUAUUCACCAUGGCUGAUGCAAUCGUUUCCACUAUCUUGGAGCAGCUGAUUUCCUUCGCUGCUGAAGAGAUAAAACAACAGGUGAUCGAAGUUACACCCCUCCUAUUACAAAUACUUCCAAUGAUUUUAAUUGGUUUUGUUUUUAUCAAAAACAUUAUAUAUUUUUGCUUUAUUUUAUUUAUCUGAUAGUUUUAUAUUUUGAAAUUUGAAUUGAAAUCAUGAAAUUUGGAUAGGAUUCACUAGAAAUAUGUACAAGACUCUCCAUAAAGUUUCAUAAUUUUCAUUCGGUAUGGGGUGGUGCAGGUGAAACUUGUGGUUGGUGUUGAAGAAGAAGUGAAAAGCCUUACCAGCCACCUUGAAGCCAUUCAAGUUGUGCUCGAUGAUGCAGAGGAAAAGCAAGUGAAGGAAAAAGCUGUUAGUCUUUGGCUGGGUAGGCUCAAGUAUGCAUCCUACGACAUUGAAGAUGUGUUGGAUGAGUGGAUCACAGCAAGACGCAAAUUGCAAAUUGAGGAUGGCGUUGAUGAAAAUGCUCUUGUUGUUCCUCAUAAGAAAAAGAAGGUAUGUCUCUGCUUUCCCGGCUCUUGUUUUGGAUUCAAACAAGAAGAAUUUGGUUUCAAACAAGUCUUUUUCCGUCAUGACAUUGCCAACAAGAUCAAAGAAAUGAAUGAAGAGCUACAUGAUAUUGCCACUCAGAAAGACAUGUUUAAUCUUGUUAAGAGUGGCAAUAAAAGUAGUGAAAGACCAAGGCGUGUACAGAGUACCUCCUUGAUUGAUGAGGAAGAGAUUUGUGGUAGAGUUGGUGAGAAGAAUGAACUCUUAAGCAAGCUGUUGUGUGAGAGUAGCGAGCAACAAAAAGGCCUCCAUAUCAUCUCAAUUGUUGGUAUGGGAGGCAUAGGGAAAACUACUCUUGCACAACUAGCUUGUAAUCAUGACGAGGUGAAGAGAAAGUUUGACAAAAUUCUGUGGGUGUGUGUAUCAGAAACUUUUGAGGAGUUUAGGGUAGCCAAAGCGAUCGUUGAAGCUUUGGAUGGUCGUGAAUCUCAUUUAGGUGAAUUCCAAUCUCUUCUUAAACAUAUUUAUGAAUCAAUUGCAGGGAAGAGCUUUCUUCUUGUCUUAGAUGACGUGUGGGAUGGAAAUUACUUGAAAUGGGAACCAUUCUACCGUUGUCUAAAGAAUGGUCUCCAUGGAAGUAAAAUUUUAGUUACUACACGUAAAGGGUCAGCCGCAUCCAUGAUGGGAUCCACAGAUAUUAUCUCCGUUAAGGAGUUAGCUGAAGAAGAAUGUUGGUUGUUGUUUAACAAGAUAGCAUUUUUUGAUCGGUCCAUCGAGGAACGUGAAAAAUUAGAACAAAUUGGGCAAAGAAUUGCAGGCAAGUGCAAAGGUUUACCUCUUGCAGCAAAGACAAUCGGGAGUCUCAUGCGUUCUAAACAAACUGAAGAAGAGUGGAAAAGAAUUUUAAAUAGUGAUUUAUGGAAAGUAGAAGAGAUUGAGAAAGAUGUUUUGUCCUCUUUAUUGUUGAGUUAUAAUGAUUUGCCAUCUAGAGUAAAAAGAUGUUUUUCAUAUUGUGCUGUCUUUCCAAAAGACUACGAUAUAAAAAAAGACAAACUAAUCACAUUAUGGAUGGCUCAAGGUUAUCUUAGUGUAGAACAAGACGAAGAGAUAGAGACAAUAGGUGAAGAGUAUUUUGGCAUCUUAGCUUCUCGCUCGUUUUUUCAAGAGUUUAAGAAAAGUUAUGAUAAUCGGAUUAUAGCGUGUAAGAUGCAUGAUAUGGUACAUGAUUUUGCCCGAUUUGUAAGUCAAAAUGAAUGUUUUUCGAUGGAAAUUAACGGUAGUGAGGAACCAAACGCCACAAACUCUCUUGAUGAGAAGGUCCGUCAUUUAAUGUUAAUCUUUAGUAAAGGGGCUUCAUUACCUGCUUCCACUCGUAGAGUUAAAAGAAUGCGUACCCUCUUAAUUAACUAUAGUAGAUCUGAAUCAUCUGAUCAUUCAUUAUUAAAUGGUGAGAUCCUAGAAGAAUUAUUUAGGGAAUUGAAAAGUUUAAGGGCAUUAGAUUUUGGCGGAUCGUACGACACACAUUUUUCUUUGACUCUGGAGAUUCCAAGAAACAUAGAAAAGCUGGUACAUUUAAGAUACCUUAAUUUGUCUCUUCAGAAAAUAGUGGAGCUACCGGAGACAUUAUGCGAGUUGUAUAAUCUAGAAAAGUUAGAUAUUAGUUAUUGUUAUAAGCUAGAAGAAUUACCUGAAGGGAUUGGGAAGUUAAUAAACAUGAAGCAUUUACUAAAUAAAAAUACUAGUUCUUUAACGUACAUGCCAGUAGGGAUUGGGAGAUUAACGGGUCUUAGGACCUUGGGUGAGUUCCACGUGAGUGCAGGAGGAGGUGUUGAUGGUAGGAAAGCAUGUAGGCUUGAAUCUCUUAAAAACUUGGAACGCCUUCAAGUAUGUGGUAUACGUAGACUGGGUGAUGUAUCAGAUGUGGGCGAGGCUAAGCGAUUAGAACUUGACAAAAAGAAAUACCUCUCUUGUUUGACCCUUGAGUUUGAUAAGAAGGAAAGAGGAGGAGAAAGGAGGAAGAACGAGGACGAUCAACUUCUUCUUGAAGCUCUACAACCACCUCUGGAUUUAAAGGAAUUAGAGAUAUGGUACUACCGAGGCAACACUGCUUUCCCUAGCUGGAUGACGUCAUUAACCAACUUAAAAAGUUUAGAUCUCUCUUUGUGCGAAAAUUGCGAGCAGCUGCCUCCUUUGGGAAAAUUGCAGUCCCUUGAAAAUCUCCACAUAUGGCGCAUGGCGAGUGUGAAGAGAGUGGGUGAUGAAUUUUUGGGGAUAGAAAGUGAUCAUCAUGACUCAUCUUCUUCUUCAUCAGUUAUUAUUGCCUUCCCCAAAUUGAAAUCACUUUCAAUUAACGAAAUGGAGGAAUUAGAGGAGUGGGAUUAUGGGAUUACAAGAACGGGAAACACCGUCAUCGACAUCAUGCCACGUCUUUCAUCCUUAACAAUAAUUCUUAGCCACAAAUUAAAGGCACUGCCCGACUACAUUCAUCAAACGACAACAUUGAAGGAAUUGCACAUUUUGGGGUGUGACCUUCUGGAAGAACGUUACCGCAAGGGGGAAGGAGAAGACUGGCCUAAGAUAUCUCACAUUCCCAACUUCGAGAUUUGGCGUUGACAAGUAAUUUCUUCUCUCACUCUGAUUUGAAUCAAACUCUAUAUCAGAAAUCUGCAAUACUUACUUUCUAAUAUUCUGAUUUUCAUAUCCUAUGAAUAUACGAUUUUUAAUUUGUGAGAUGGGUAACGUUACUGUAAAAGAUUAUUAAUGCAAUAUGAGUAAUUCUUUUGCAGAACAAGUGACCUACAUUUAGUUUGGCUUUGGAGUUGAAUAAUAACCUUUCAAGGUCCCGACAACCAAAAAACGAAGCUUAAUUUGCCACAGAUGGCACGUAUUGCCAUUAUUGACAAUUUUCUGCACAAGCUUAGGUUGAUGUCAAAACAGGUAAAUUACUGGCAUGCCUGACUAUUUUGACCAUUACAUGAUUCAUAAGUUUACAUUAAUUUUGAUUUUGAGUUGAGUGAUUAAUUUUCUAGGUUUGCUUACUUUAACUGGGUGACCAAUUUCUUGUAACUAAAUGUAUGAUGUGAUGCAGGAAGCAGGGCAGGGCAUGAAGAGAGAAGCUUAUUAGAGGAAGGAUUGCCAGUAACAGAAUCCAAAGAAAAAAGAAACCAUUUCGAGGCAGCAGUUGGCAGUUGGCAGUGAAUGGAGCCCCUUGAAAAAUUCCCCAAGCCGUUGCACUGCAAUUACGAUCAUCCUCGGCCUCAGGUAAUUUCUUCUCCUGCAUUUUUGUUAUUUGCUAUCAAGUGACUAUUUUAAGUAUGAUUGCAUUAAGCUGCUGCUGGGAAAUUUGAGGUUUUGAUGACUGCCCAUGCUAUUGUCAGAAGCUGCGGUUCUUUUCAUCAGCCUGAACCUGGACCUGCCGCUAUGGAUAACUCAGGUUUUUUUUUUUUAAUCAACAGCCAUCUUUUCCACUGUUUAGAAACUCUUAAGAUUAAACUUUAGUAAAGUUGUUUUAGUUAUCCAUGUAAUCAGGCUGAGGAUACUUAGCUGCCUAUUUAGGCAAAUGUUAGAAUUUAGUUUGUUUGCUGGGAACUGGUGUGGACUGGCAAAGGAUGAUGAGAUAGUUUUUUGAGUGAGUAAAUUUUGGGAGCUUGAGUGUAUUGGGAUUUGCAAUUACAAUCAUCGUCUGCCUCAGGUGAUUUCUUCUCCUGCUCUGUCAUUGUUUGUUCUCUAAUUCAAAAGCAUAAAAUAUUUCAAUCAAUUUUUAUGCCAGGAAUAUGCAAAAGUUUCUAAUAUUUUAUUUCCAUCUGUUACAAGAUCAAACUGAAGCAGAACUCAAACAAAAGUAUGCUACUUCUUGCGGAAAUCUUGCCUUUGUUCAGAUUAUGAAACCAUUUCCAGGCAGCAAAUUCAUCCAAAAGUUUGAAUAAGUUUCAUGGUUGGACACUGUUGCCUUCUUUUUCUUCUGGGGUGCAUUUAGGUGCUAUCAAGUGACAGCUGUAAGUAUGAUUGCACUAAGCUGCUGCUGGGAAAUUUGAGGUUUUGAUGGCUGCCCAUGUUAUUUUCAAGAAACUAUUGAUGUAAGAAGCUGUGGUUCUUUUCAUCAGCUUGAACCUGAAACUGUCGCUAUGGAUAACUCAGGUUUUUGUUAUCAACUAUAUCAUCUUUUUCACUAUUUUGAAACUCUUAAGAUUAAACUUUAGUAAAGUUGUUUCAGCUAUUCAAAUGAAAAACUCAUUGAUUUGAGACUGACUUCAUUAUUGUUUCUAAUUACAAUGCUAACGAUCCAGAUAAAAUAAUAUUUAAUCGGCGAAGGUGUCCCUUGGAAGUACAUCCUUCUUUUUCUUUUAUUAUAUAAAUUCUUGCAAUGAGCUUAGUGAAGCUGUUGUGCUAAUCAUGCCACUGCAUAAUUUGGCCCCUAAUGUGGGUACUCUGUUACAUUGUUCUGCAAAUUCUCCAGAAGUUAAAAUCAAUAAAUUUUCUAUUAGCUCUAGUGCUUUGACCUAAAUGCCAUUCUAUAUUUUGAUUACAAUGUUUUAACCUUUAAAUUAACUACCCCUAGAUGUUGGAUUUUCUAGAACUUCAAAAUGAUUAAUGGAGAAAGAUCCCAUUAUCGUUAUUGCUAUAAGAAAUUGAUUUAUGCAUCCAAAGAUACAUUAUAUAUUUCUGUGUCUCUAUUUGUAGAUGACAUUUAAGCAUCCAUAAACCGUCAGACAGAGGAAGGGGGUUCAGUGCAAAGAUUCUGUUGACCUAGGGUUGACUGCAUAAUGUCACUUGUUCGCAAUCUAUUAUUUAUUUUAUAUUUUGAAGAAUUUAAUGGGUAAUCCUAAUUGUUUGUUUUGGCAGGUAUGUGUUGUUAUCUCCUUCUAUCUAACAGUCGUACCUAAAUAGCAUAGUUUCAUCUGCGUUACCAUGUGAUGUACAUAAUUUCACAUUUGCCUCAGAUUAAGCUUAAUUUCCCACAGAAUAGAGCUGUCGCGACUGGACUUUUUGAUGUCCAAAGAGGUAAAUUAUUGGCAUGCCUAGAUAAUUUGGCCAUUUCCUAAUUCAUAAGUCUACAUUAAUUUUGAUUUUGAGUUGACUGAUUUCUUUUCAAGGUCUGCUUCCUUAACGGAGUGACCAAUGUUUUUCAACUAAAUUUAUCAUAUGAUGCAGGAAGCAGGGCAGGAUAUGAAAUGAGAAGCUCAUUGGUGGAAGUAUUGCCAGUAGCAGAACCCAAUGAAAAUGAAACUAUUUCAAGGCAGCAGUCGGCAGUUGCAAGUGAAUGGAGGCCCUUGACAAAAUUCUCAAGCGAUUGCAAUGCAAUUACGAUCAUCCUCAGCCUCAGGUAAUGUCUUUUAUUGGUACCCAACAAAAAUGCAAGGUCUGUGAGAAGACAGUUUGUCCAGUUGAGCAGUUAUCUACUGAUGGGGUUGUUUAUCACAAGUCUUGCUUCAAGUGCUCUCACUGCAAAGGCACACUCAAGCUAAGCAAUUACUCAUCCCUGGAAGGUGUUCUUUACUGUAAGCCUCACUUUGAGCAGCUUUUGAAGGAGUCGAGUAACUUCAACAAGAAUUUCCAAUUACCUGCAAAGUCAGCUGAGAAGUUAACUCCUGAGCUGAGAAGGUCGCCUAGCAAAGUUGCCAGCAUGUUCUCUGGGCCCAAUAAAAAUGUGCUUCUUGCAGUAAAACAGUGUGUCCGUGGGAGAAGGUAGCAGCGGAAAACCAAGCCUCUCACAAGACAUGUUUCAAGUGCUCACAUGGUGGUUAUUCCAUUAGCCCGUCAAAUUACGCAGCCCUAGAAGGCAUCUUGUAUUGCAAACAUAAUUUCUCCCAAUUGUUCAAGGAAAAAGGCAGCUACAACCACCUUAUAUCAAAUCUGCUUCCAUGAAGCGUGCUGCAGUCUCUGUUCAAGAAGCUUGAACAUGUUAUGUUAUCUUCCAUAAAUCUUAUUUGGCGUGGGUUUUCUCUGGCUUGAGGGUGUGCUGCUUUCUAUUUUGAUCCCUCUUGUUUUUUUUGCGGGGAACUACCAAACCUUCGGUUCCCUCUGCUUCUUUGGAUCAUCUUUGUUGGGACAAAUUUCAUGUAAUUAGAGAUACUGAUUUAUGGGAGGCAUAAUCCCAUGGUCGUAAAUUGACCAUUUUCUGGCAAUGUUCUUUUUAAAAAGAGAUGAGCAGUUGUUUAACAAAAAAAAUAUUCGGCCUUCAUCAUUGUAUGUUACCAAACUGCUAUGUAUAGCUGCUAACUAUGAGCAUCCGAAAAUAUGGUGCAUCGUGAUUCAUGUAGUGCAAUAUGGCUACCAACGCAUCCUAAAUGGAGUAUUACUCAGUUAGUCAGCAAAAUAAGACAACAUAACAGAUAUUAAAAAAAAAACUACAUUAAUAAGUGGGCAAGAUCAUGCCAGUUUAACUUUUCGCGCGUCGCUGCUGGAGAUAAUCAAAUCGGGGCAGAGAAAAGGAGAAUGGAAUCAGAGGCUAAGAUUAAUAAGUGGGCUUCUGCUUGCUUUGCGCCUCUUUCUUAAACGAUUGGUAGACUGCUGCUUCCACCGAUUAACCGGGACUUCAACCACUGCUUUUACUGCCUGCCAUCUUGUUGUUUGUCGAAGGGAUGAAUUCAAGUCGAAAAGAGAAAGCGCGCUGAAAAAGAUAAAUCACUAGUGGUUAACUGCUGACUCAGCCAAGUGUUGGCUUCACUUGAUUCACCGAUUGAGGUUAUUUUGUCUUCUAUCUAAUGCAGCGAAGAAGCUUUGCUGCUUAACAUGCUGCAAUGCAACUUUAUCCUUUGAAGUUCACACUCCAGGGCUGCGCACUUUAUGUAAUCCUAUGAGUAAAAAGAAUUUGUUUUCAAAUGUGAAAAAAGAAAAUGUAAGGUAGUAACUAAAUAUAUUAUAGCAUCAAAGCAAGAUUUGAUAUGAAUUUAGUACAACAAAGAACAUCAAAUCUGUGAUUCCUUGUCUAAUGUCACCAUCGAGCAACAAAUUUAAAAGCCUACCUAUCAAAUACACGAGGCAAUAAACGGAGAAAAAGUUGAAUUACAAGAACAAGUUUACAAUUCUUGUCAAUGGUUAAUGAUUUGUGAACUGCAUAGCAUUCAAGAAUCCAAUUUCAAUACAACAACCUAAAAGAUAAACAGAUGAUGAAUUUUAUGAGAUAAAGAAGGAGAUCGUGUUUUAUCGUAUCUCUAUUUUCUUUCUUUUUAAAUUUAAAAUAAGCUUUUCAACCGGUUUGGUAACUGGUUAUAAUAUUUUUUAAAAUAAUUAAAUAUUUUCAUUAUUAAAAAUAAUGUGUACCGUUGAUUACAUCUAACGGUACAUAUUUCUUACACUACUAAUACCGUAAAAAAAAAAAGGCAUCAUAGAAGGACCCUUAAAACAUUUUCAUUUGAAAUUAUUUGGUGUAGUCAAAAAGUUAAGAAAGAAAUAGUUGUCCCUUUGGUCAUUUCACAAAAAUGAAAGCCCCAUAUAACAUGGACUUGAAUGGAAGCCCAAUUGUUUGUGUUUGAUUUCAAGCUUUAUCGGACCUUUGGACCUGGAUACUUUACUGCGGCCUCUAAGCCCUAUAAAUUUUUUUUUGGGAUAAAAGGUGCUUCAAUGAAAAAGCACUUUAAAACUUUGGAUUUUGCCAAAACUUCAAAGCGGUUGGUCCAGUUACGGUGUGUUAUGCUAACGGGUUUAAAGGUUCCGAUCCAAUGAGUUAGGGUGGAAUAUGAAUAUAUAAAUUCCAUAGCAUGUAAGGACUAGGAUUUGUUUGUUCAUAUCAAGAAAAAAAAUCUGAAAAUUUGAUGAUCAGAAGAUAAAAACACUUAAACACGUUUAUUACAGAGAAACAAACGACAACAUGAUACUAGUAGUAGUUAUUCUUUUCAUCCGAUAUAUUACAUGGUAAUAUCACUACUCGUUCCACUGGUUUCAUAUACACCAUCGAUCAGCAACAUGAUAAUUUUGUGUCAGUUCAUUUUGUUUGUAGGAAAGAGCAGUGUAUUUAUAAUAAAAAGAUUUUAAAAUAUAAAUUGCAUAUUUGUUUAUUACUGUUGUUUGGUCUAAUUUCUUAUGUAGAAUUGCUUGUCAUUCUUUGGACGUUAUUGGUUAUAUUUUUGUCAGACUUGGCGUAUAUAUUCACAUACAUUUUAUUUUGUCAUUUUUUAGAACAUUUUUACACGCCAUAUUAUCACUACUCUUCUCUGUCUGAAUAAGAAGAAAGCAUCAACGGAGGUGUAUUACCACUGUUUCUUACUCAGUUAUCAUCAACGGAGUACCAAGAGGCUUGAUUUUUCCUGAAAGAGGACUUAGGCAAGGGUGUCCACUCUCCCCAUACCUGUUCCUUUUAUGUGCUGAGGUCUUUUCCAGCUUGCUGUCCCAGGCAGAAAGAAAUUAGCAAAUUAAGGGCUUGAGAUUCACUAAAGAUGUUACUAUCUCCCAUCUCCUCUUUGCGAAUGAUAGUCUAAUUUUCACAAGAGCUGCAGUGGCUAAUUGCAAGCAUCUAAAAGGUCUAUUUGAUACUUAUGCGAAGGCAUCGGGGCAUAUUUUUAACUUUGAAAAGUCAUCUAUGUUUUUCAGUGGUAAAAUUUUUUAGGGGCAGAUUUCAGCGAUCAAGAGUAUCUUCAAGCUUAAGGUGGUUCCUGUUGUGCAAAUUUUAAUGAACUCGCAAGCGCACGAAUCUAUUGUAGUAUAGAUCAAUGGUGACGAGUGUCGAUCCCACGAGGAGGUGGAUUUUAAUUAUAUGUAGAAUUAAUUUUGUAAAUGGGUGGUUGGAAUUGUAGUGGAAAUGAUUUGGAAUAUGCUAAAACUUAAAUUAAAAUGGCGAGAAUAAAUUAUGAAAUUGGAAUUGCAAUGGCGAGAAUAAAUUGAAGUGAAAUCUAUUGAAAUAACGUACUUGGGUAUCCGGAUCCGUAUCAACAUGCAUCAUGGGCUAAAUAAUCCGUAUUAAUGCCAAUUAAAUCAUGAGGGGGGAAUCCACACCUCAUGAACCACGCUCUAAUCAAUAUGGUGCUAAGGGCUUAUCGUGCCAAAUAAUAAUAACCUUAUACUAGAGAGCCGGUGUAACCAAGGCGGUAUCUAGACAAGAUUACUAUUAUUUGUCGACGAAAAGUCAAAACAUCCACAAAAACUAGAGGGGAAGAGAAAAUAAAUUUACCAAAUUAAGCCCAUGAAAAUAAUCCUGUGUGAUGCAUGCACCGUACGCGAAAUUUUUCGUCCACUGAUAUGCUGCCACGUCACCAUCAACAGUACAUAAGAAUUUUAGUCCAACAGGAUCGUGACACCUCAUCAGUCAAUGCCACAUCAUCGGUCAAUGCCACGUCAUCGAUCCGUCUAUGUGAACAGUGUCGUGAACAGUAACGUAGACAGUACCGUAUACGUGAAUAGUACCGUACAUGUGAAUAGUGCCAUUUUUCCUUUUAUGCUCCUCCUAAGGUUUUCGACCGUCCUGAGUUCAAAAGUGAUGUCCGUUUUGCUGUCUGAUCUCUCCUUUAUUGUGAAAUGACUAUAAUGCCCCUAAAAUACAUAAAAUACUUAAUUAAAAUAACACACACGUAAUUACAUCACAAAAAGGUUAAAUACAUAAAAGUAAGGGUUGUUAGUAAGACUUGAAAUGUAAAAUGAUGGUUUUCUCCUUUAUAAAUAUGCAUUUUCUAAUACUCAACACACCCCCCAACCAGCUUAUUGCUAGUCCCUAGUAAAUAAAGCGAAAACAAAAUUCAAAUUCAAAAUAUUUUUUUAGAAACACUCGUGUUUAUUCAAUCAGAUUAAUGAUAGCAAUCAAAUAAAAGUAUAAGCAUUAUCUCCAGUCUAAAGCAAUAUCACACCCAUAUCAACCAUCCACAUGAAUCGGCCCAGUAGACUUUGUUAUAGCUACUUUCAAGAAUGACAUGUUAAACCCCAAAAUCUCACUGGAAGUAGUGACACUCUCACAAAGAAAUUAAAACCCAAUAAACAUAGUCACUCCAAUGAAUAGUAAUUGAGAGAGAAAAUAAUAAAGAAAUGAUAUCACAUGCUCUCACCAAGAUGAAAUAAAUAUGCCCUCAGCUUAGAAAUAAUACGAUCUCAAGUCAAAUAAAAUGUUAGUCAACCCACUUUAUUUAUCUUCUUUUUUUUUUUAUUAUUAUGCAUCACUACAUCUUUUUAGCCCAUAUAACUAGCUUCUACUUCAAACUAUAGUUCCCUAAAAUCAAGAAGGACUUUUAUUAGGACGUAACGUAGGCUAGGGAUAUGGCUAACAAAGAAAGGAAAUAAGGAAAACAAAGUGUAUGUUUGAGAAAAAUGCAGAAAUAUAUAUAUAUAUAUAUAUAUAUUUUUUUUUUUUUUUGAAGUUGCAAGGUGGAUUUCACCUAUUAUUGUUAUUUUAUUCUUUUGAAACAACAACUUUUGUUUUUUUGUUUUUUUUUUAUUUUUUGUUUUUUUUUUUGCUUUUAUUUGGCAUAACUUCACUGAACAACAUAAUUAUUUACAUUUUCUCAAACAUAAAUAGGUGAUGGAACUUAUAAGACAUCGAGUAAUACUCCAAAUCGGAGUGAGUCAAGAUGAUAAGUUGACAAAGAAAAGGUUUUAUUUAUUUAUUUUUUUUUAAAGGCUCAAAAGGGGUAACUAUGGAUAUUUAAUAAAAGGGAUGGCUAGAAAGGCUCAAACGGAUCAAAGAUGGCCUUUCCAUCGUCUUUUAGGGCUCUAAAUAAUUAUCCAUAUCUACUAGUUAGAUGGGCCUCCCAAUGUAGCAACACACAUUUUUUUUUUUUUUUUUUAAUUUUACCAUUUUUUUUAAAGGGUUAACUCAAAAGAAAUCUAGAGAUCGUGUAUAAAAUAAUAAACUGCUAAGCUGUAUAGAAAAUGGGCAAAAGGGUUACUCUCCAAGAAAAUGAUAGGCUCAACAACUCACUUGACACUUAUUUAUGACAUGUUCAUUCCUUCAAGCAACUCAUAUUUGUCUCCGACAUCAACAUGUAAAGUAGCAAACAUAGCGUAACAUCACUUAAGACCAAAGAUAAUACAAAUACUAAAAUUUGAAAUUAAUCAUGUCAUCCAAUGUUAAAACAAAUAACACAAAUUUUUUUUUUUUUAAACAACAUUCUACCCCCCAACCUAUUCUAAACAUGAAAAGAAAAUAUGCAUGCAGAAAUGUGAAAAUGAUGUAGAAAAAUUAAUUAGAAAAAGAUUUUUUUUUUUUAAAACUAAGAAGAUGCGUUUCUAGAGGCACUACACUCCAUAUUCAGCCAUCUUCGACUCAAAAGUUGGAAAAUGUAUAUUUAUAGAGGAGAAAAUAAAAAGAAGAAGAAAAAUGAAGUAGAAAAAUUAAUUAGAAAAAGAAUUUUUUUUUUCGAACAAUGAAGAUGCGUUUCUAGAGUAACUACACUCCAUAUUCAGCCAUCUUCAACACAAAAAGUUAGCAACAGUUAGUUUCUACAACAAAAAAUUAGUAAAAACUUAACCAAGAUUCCACAAUUGUCGACUAUUCCCUCCCCCCAACCAGAACGAAACAUUGUCCUCAAUGUUUGAAAGGAAAGAAGUAGAGUUUAGAAGACAUCACCUGGGUGGUGCAACACAGAAGAAUAUAUUUACAGGCGGAGAGUUAAAUCUAAUUUGUACUUCUUACUGCGGCUACUGUUACCAUCAUUAGUUGGUCGCUCCAACACAAAGGUCCAGGGGUCUGGCUCCGGUUUAUAAGCUUGUAACAUAUCAAGUAGCUCAUUAGCAGUGUGAGCACAAAUAAAGAGUUUUUUCACAUUAGAAUGCGAUAAAGUCAUCAUAAAAGUUAUUGACAUUUAACAAACCAAUAGGUUUCUGGUGGAUGUGCAGAUGGGCCCAAGAUGCUAGUGUCAUAAAUGCUUCUAGUGUUGCAAGAUCUCCUGGAAGGAAAAUAAAAGCAUCAGCAUGAUUAAGCAUUUCAGUUAUUCUUUCUUGCAUACCUGAGACGACUAACUCUUCUCCAGUUGAUGAGUCAGACGAACUGCCCAAUGGUUUUAGGACUCUUGGGAUGAUGCCUAACACUUGACUUCCUCUGAUAAAAGCUGCUUCUGAGACCAUUUUUGAUAACCCUCGGUUACCUCCUCCAUACACCAAGUGUAAUUUUCUCGCUGCUAUGCUUCGACCAAGAUCUAUGGCUGCCUCCACAAACUCUUUAUGUUUGCCACAGGUAAAUCCAGAAAGCACACAAAUGUUCUUGAAUUGUCUAAUGGGAGUAGCUGCCAUUGUGAUACUUCUCAAAAACAAUUUGUGAGUGCUUGACAAAAGAUAAAUCACAUUUAAGAAUCUUGGUGACAGUGGAUCACAACUGUGAAUGAGGUAACAUGUCAGUGUCAAAUAACGCGUAAAGCACGUGGCUCGCGAGUCAAAAAGGAAACAAUAAAAAAAAGAAAAAGCAAACAGUAACAAAAUUAUUAAAGACAAAAAUAAAACAACAGUGAAAUGAAAUAAAAUAACAGUAAAGUAAAAGGAUAUUUACACGUAGUUGCGACUGUGGCUCACAUCUUCCUCUGGUUUUACGUCCAGAAACGGCUUGAACGCCCUCUAUGGGUCGAGGAUAGGCUUCCUAUCCAGUUUUCUUAUAAACUGGCAAACAGGGUCGUUUAUAGUCAGAUUCCCGAGACUAUAUCGUGCAUGCUCUUUCUGGAAUAAUGGCCAUAACUGGAGAACCGCUCCUUGCACAUAUCCACUAGGAUGCGUUUCAAGAGACAAAAGGAUAUCAUCCAAUGACUCCUUAUUCAAGCCAUCCCUAAUGAAUUGAAUCUUAUAUUCCCUGUUAUCAGACACCAUUCCUAAAGAACAUGGGUUUCUAUCGCAACUCAUUCUGGCACACUUAUGACAAGCAACAGAAAUUCUUCGAGCUCGUCGUUUUCUUCCAUAAUUUCCUUUACCACAACCAGGCAUGAAUGCAAUAAAUUUUGGAGGAAACUCACCUGCCGAUCGUACUUUAGCCUCGAUUAACCAACGGAUGUCAGCAGGUAUGUUAUUCCUCAUGAGUAAUCGCAUGCGUUCGGAUCGAGCUUUAUAGAUCGUAAGGAGGGCAUUCUGAGGAAGUGAAGGGAAUCGCUUGUGAAGCUUCGCUAGAAUCUCGUUUCUGUUCAUACUUUCACCUCAGAAUGUCAGUUAUUAUGGGAAACUGAAGUAACCGACUUGAUUGUCACGGAGUACCGUUAUCCGCCACUUCACCGGGGUAACAAACUAAAGCACAUAAACAGAAAAACAAAUCAAAACACACAAAGAAAAUUAAAAUCGUCCUCUUAUUGAAUUUACCUCAAGCUCCAACUGGAUGUCGUAAACACUUCUCUCAAUGUCUCUGAGUUGGCGUUCUAAACCCUCAACAUAGGCUACUAACUCUGGUGGUUGUAGAGCCCAAAUGCGUUGUGUUUUACAAAAUUGAAUCUGCCUUUUGAGAUGAGUUUUGAUACGUUGAAGUGGUUUAAGAAUGUUCAGGAGGAACGGUCUAAGUAUGAGACUCAUGAUUAAAAAUGAUAAGAGAAAACUUAAUGGUAAAAUAAACACACUUAUGCAAAAACAAUUUCAAUUAGCAAAAGAAUAAUAAUAAAAAGAAAGAAAGAAAAAUCAAAUCAACGAAAAGAAAAAAAAUCAAUUCAAAUUUGGUGGGUCACUCAAAUUUAUUUCGGUGUCUUCUCUAUGUGGUUGGUACUCAAGAUAUGGCUUUAAUCUUUGACCAUUAACUUUAAACGUGACACCGUUCUUUGGGUCCUUAAUUUCAAUUGCCCCAUGUGGAAAAACAGUAUGAACAAUAAAGGGACCAGACCAUCGAGAGCGUAACUUACCUGGGAAUAGGUGCAAGCGAGAAUUGAAUAAAAGCACUUUCUGACCUGGAGUGAAAGAUUUUCUCAUAAUGUGCUUGUCAUGAAAGACUUUCAUUCGUUGCUUGUAAAUUUUGGCAUUUUCGUAUGCAUCAUUGCGAAUUUCUUCAAGUUCUGCCAGCUGUAAUAUUCUUUCUGAGCUGGCUUGUUGCAUGUCAAAAUUGAAUUUCUUGAUGGCCCAAUACGCACGAUGCUCGAGUUCCACAGGUAGGUGGCAAGCUUUUCCAUACACUAGCCUGUAGGGUGACAUCCCAAUCGGGGUCUUGAAAGCCGUUCUAUAUGCCCAUAAUGCAUCAUCAAGUCUUAAUGACCAAUCUUUCCUGUCUGGCCUCACCGUUUUUUCUAAUAUGUGCUUUAUUUCUCGAUUGGAUAUCUCAACUUGGCCACUGGUUUGCGGAUGAUACGGGGUCGCCACUUUGUGUGUGAUUGAAUACUUUGUCAAAAGAGCCUUGAAUGCUUUGUUACAAAAGUGGGCACCACCAUCACUGAUUAUCGCUCGAGGGAAUCCAAAGCGUGAAACAAUGUUGCUUUUCAAAAAUCCUAUCACCACUUUGUGAUCAUUGGUUCUGCAUGGAAUUGCUUCCACCCAUUUCGAUACGUAGUCAACACCAACCAAUAUGUAUUGAUGGCCAAAAGAAGGGGGAAAGGGUCCCAUGAAGUCGAUACCCCAUACGUCAAAAAUCUCAACCACUAAAAUUGGAUUUAGUGGCAUCAUGUUCCUUCGUGUAAUGCUCCUCAUUCGUUGACACCUAUCACAUGAAGAACAAAAAGUGUAAGCAUCUCGAAAUAUAGUUGGCCAAUAAAAACCACAUUGUAAAACUUUAGUCACGGUUUUCUUAGCACUGAAGUGGCCUCCACAAGCUUGUUCAUGGCAGAAUGAAAGGAUAUUCUGAAUUUCACUUUCUGGGACACAUCGUCUAACAAUUUGGUCUGCACAAUACUUGAACAAAUACGGGUCAUUGUUGAGUGUUAGAAAAUGCAUAUUUAUAAAGGAGAAAACUGUCAUUUUAUGUUUCAAGUCUUACUAACAACCCUUACUUUUAUGUAUUUAACCUUCUUGUAAUGUAAUUACGUGUGUGUUAUUUUAAUUAAGUAUUUUAUGUAUUUUAGGGGCAUUAUAGUCAUUUCACAAUAAAGGAGAGAUCAGACGGCAAAACGGACAUCACUUUUGAACUCAGGACGGUCGAAAACCUUAGGAGGAGCAUAAAAGGAAAAAUGGCACUAUUCACAUAUACGGUAGUAUUCACGUAUACGGUACUGUCUACGUUACUGUUCACGACACUGUUCACAUAGACGGAUCGAUGACGUGGCAUUGACCGAUGAUGUGGCAUUGACUGAUGAGGUGUCACGAUCCUGUUGGACUAAAAUUCUAAUGUACUGUUGAUGGUGACGUGGCAGCAUAUCAGUGGACGAAAAAUCUCGCGUACGGUGCAUGCAUCACACAUGAUUAUUUUCAACCAAACCGCGUUACUGUUCAUCCGGGUCAAACCGUGUUACUGUUCAUCCGCGUGGUCAAACCGUGGACUGUUGACUGAUGACGUGGCGCAAUCCUGAGCGUCCAAACUGUUUUUAAUCCGAUGGCCAUGAUUUACUCCAUGUAUCUAUAAAAAGGGGGCCUCCCCCCCAUAAUUUGAUAUCUCUGAAUCCAUUUUUGGGAUCCAUUUUCUGUAAUUCCUUCUCCAUCUUGUAUUUUCUUUGUAUUUUAAUAAAUUCCCUUUUUGCCCCUAGUUCAAUUAUGAGUAGCUAAUUUCUUUUCAAGCUUGGGUUGAAGGUGAAGUCUCAACAUGUGUCAUGGGCUUUAUUUGGUAAAUUUAUUUUCUUUUCCCCUCUAGUUUUUGUGGAUGAUUUGACUUAUCGUCGAUAAAUAAUAAUGAUCUUGUCUAGAUACCGCCUUGGUUACACCGGCUCUCUAGUAUAAGGUUAUUAUUAUUUGGCACGAUAAGCCCUUAGCACCAUAUUGAUUAGAGCGUGGUUCAUGAGGUGUGGAUUCCCCCCUCAUGAUUUAAUUGGCAUUAAUAUGGAUUAUUUAGCCCAUGAUGCAUGUUGAUACGGAUCCAGAUACCCAAGUACGUCAUUUCAAUAGAUUUCGCUUCAACUUAUUCUCGCCAUUGCAAUUCCAAUUUUAGAAUUUAUUAUCGCAAUUUCAAUUCCAAUUUUAGGAUAAUUUAAAUCACUUCCACCACAAUUCCAACCACCCAUUUUGCAAAAUUAAUUCUAUACACAAUUAAAAUCCACCUCCUCGUGGGAUCGACACUCGUCACCAUUGAUCUACACUACAAUAGAUUCGUGCGCUUGCGAGUUCAUUAAAAUUUGCACAACAGUCAUCCCAAAAGAAAUUCUUUAUUUCUACAAAGAAUUUAGCCUUGUCUUGCUUGGUCCAAUGCUCUGGAAAUUUACCUGUAACAAGAUAAUUAACUAUAUCAGCAUACCAAGGUAAUACUUCCACAUUCAUCAAUUGUUCAUCUGGAAAUGACUCAUUCAAUAUUAAUGGCUCUGUAAUUGUGUCAAAAUGGAGACGAGAGAGGUGGUCCGCCACAACAUUCUCUGUGCCUUUCUUAUCUUUGAAUUCCAAGUCAAACUCCUGCAAAAGUAACACCCAACGAAUUAGUCUAGCUUUUGCAUCUUUCUUUGUGAGAAGAUAUUUAAGAGCAGCAUAAUCUGUGAAUACAAUUAUUUUACAACCAAUGAGAUAAGAUCGAAAUUUUUCUAAUGCAAACACUACUGCUAGCAUUUCUUUUUCAGUAGUUGAAUAAUUCAACUGUGCAUCAUUGAAUGUCAUACUAGCAUAGUAAAUAACAUGGGGAAUUCGAUCAACUCUUUGUCCUAAUACUGCUCCUACGGCAUAAUCAGAUGCAUCACACAUUAGCUCAAAUGGUAAGCUCCAGUUUGGGGCCUGAAUGAUGGGUGAUGAUGUCAACAACUGUUUUAAUUUUUCAAAUGCAACAAGACAUGAAUCAUUAAAGACAAAAGGUACAUCCUUAGCAAGUAGAUUGCAUAAGGGUCUAGAAACUUUGCUAAAAUCUUUAAUGAAACAUCUAUAAAAACCAGCAUGCCUAAGGAAAGAUCUUACUUCUCUGAUUGUUUUGGGUGGAGGAAGAUUAGAAAUGAGAUCCACCUUGGCUUUGUCAACCUCAAUACCUUUGCUCGAAAUGAUGUGACCGAGAACAAUACCUUGUUUUACCAUAAAAUGGCACUUCUCCCAAUUUAAGACUAAGCUCUUCGCGGUACAUCUCUGCAGAACUAGCGUUAGAUGAUGUAAACAUUGAUCAAACGAGUCACCAAAGAUAGAAAAAUCAUCCAUAAAGACUUCAAGGAAUCGUUCAACCAUAUCAGAAAAAAUGCUCAACAUGCAUCGUUGAAAUGUAGCAGGUGCAUUACAUAAUCCAAAUGGCAUUCUCCUAUAUGCAAAAGUGCCAAAAGGGCAAGUAAAAGUAGUUUUCUCUUGAUCUUUUGGUGCUAUGGGAAUCUGAUUAUAUCCUGAGUAGCCAUCUAGAAAGCAAUAAAAUUCAUGGCCUGCUAAUCUAUCAAGCAUUUGAUCAAUAAAUGGUAAAGGAAAAUGGUCUUUACGUGUGACAGAAUUCAACUUUCUAUAAUCAAUGCAUACACGCCAUCCUGUAGUUACUCUAGUUGGUAUCAAUUCAUUAUCAGCAUUGGUAACUACUGUGACUCCUGACUUUUUGGGGACAACUUGUACAGGACUGACCCAUGAACUAUCAGAAAUUGGGUAAAUGAUACCUGCGUCUAAUAGCUUAAGGACUUCUGUUCUAACAACUUCUUUCAUAUUAGGAUUUAACCGACGUUGCAUUUCCCUAGUAGAUUUAGCAUUUUCAUCAAGGUGAAUGUAAUGCAUGCAGUCUACUGGAUUUAUACCUUUUAUGUUCGCUAUGGUCCAUCUUAAUGCUCCUUUGUGCUAUUUAAAACAUCCAACAACUUACCUUUUUGUUCGUCAUUUAGGGAUGAUGAGAUGAUUACCGGCAGAGUACUUUCUUCUCCCAAAAACGCAUAUUCCAAUGUGUUGGGUAAUGGUUUGAGCUCGAGUUUCGGUGGUGAUUCUGAUGAUGGGAUGAGUUUCUUCUCUGAUGGUGCUAGUUGUUCAACUCUUGACUUCCAUUUAUUAGUGUCCAUGGAUGGUGCUGAGUCAAGUAGGGCGUUGACCUCAUCAACUGAUCUGUCAAUAUCAAAAUCCAAACCAAAGUGAGUUAAACAUGUUUAUAAAGGAUCAUCACUAAGGUUUGAAAGAAAAGUAUUAUCAACUAUUGUUUCUAUUAAAUCCACAUCAACAAUUCCAUCAUCUGCACUGUGAGGUUGUUUGGCAAUGUUGAAGAUGUUCAGCUCCAUAGUCAUGCUGCCGAAGGACAACUGCAUAUUUCCAGUCCUGCAUUGAAUGUGAGCAUCCGCAGUUGCCAAGAAAGGUCGACCUAGAAUAAUAGGGAUGUGCUUCCUUGAAUCCUGUAUUGGUUGAGUGUCAAUUACAAUGAAAUCAACAGGAAAAUAAAACUUGUCUACCUGGAUAAGCACGUCCUCCACAAUACCACGAGGUAUUUUCGUGGACCGAUCUGCAAGCUGUAACACCACUGGAGUUGGGUGUAAUUCUCCCAGUCCAAGUUUCACGAAUACAGAGUAAGACAAAAGAUUUACACUAGCUCCUAAAUCCAACAAAGCAUUCUCAAUUGUGUGGUUCCCUAUACUACAUGAGAUAGUGGGGGAGCCUGGGUCUUUGCAUUUUAAAGGAAUUUUAUGUUGGAGUAUAGAACUAACAUUUACUGUUAAAAAUGCCUUCUUUUGAACAUGCAUAUUUCUCUUUUUAGUACAAAGGUCUUUAAGAAACUUGGCAUAAGAUGGAACUUGCUUUAUAGCAUCAAGUAAAGGGAUGUUAACACUUACCUGUUUGAAGAUUUCGAGAAUCUCACCUGUGGAUUUUCCCUUCUUUCCUUUCGCUAACCUCUGAGGAAAUGGAGCUUUGGGAACGUAUUCUCGUGGGUUGGUUUCUUCUUUUUCCUCCGGUGGUGAGUCCUCAACAUUCACAGGUACAAUUUGAUUUUCUUUUGUCACCGGCAUCUCCACUUUGUUGUCGACUUCCUUUCCUUUUCGCAAGGUCAUGACUGCUUUGACCUCUCCAUGCUGUUGUGGUGAACUGGUACUUGCUUCAUGUACUCCUUUAGGAUUAGGCACUGGUUGACUUGGAAAUUUACUUUUCUCAACAGUAAUUGCCAAGGUCUGAACUGAAGAAGCAAGUUGUCCCACCAUCUUCUCGAGGCUUGAAACUGAUUGGGCUUGUGAGUUGAAGCCCGCUCUCAACUCAUUUCGUAGUCCAUCAAUAGUGCGGUUCUGUUGCUCAAUCGUAGAGUGAGUAACAUUCUUGAGAUUUUGGAAUGAAUCCUCCCAUGGUCUGGGUUGAGAGUAGUUCUUGUUCUGAUUGUAUGGUCUGAAUGGUGGCUGAGAGGCUUGAGGAUUUUGAGGAAUUUGUUGCAUUGGUGGAGCUGGAGCUGCUGGUCCAUUCUGUUGGAAUCCUUGAGACCAUGAAAAAUUGGGGUGGUCUCUCCAUCCAGGGUUAUAUGUGUUGGAGUAUGGGUUGUAAUUAGAUGGCUUUCUCAUUACACCUAUGGCAUUGGCUUGAUCUGGAUAUGAGUCAGGGUCACGUGAUUCUGUUGAUUUAGCAGUCGAUAACGAUGUUAUUUGUCGAGCAAGACCUUCAACCAUCUCCUUGACUUCUUUGAUUCCCGAAGUUGACUCGCCAAUGUGAACCUCAUUCACUCCUUUAAUCCUUCUAGUAUUCCUGAGUGAUCGACUCCGUUGUUGGGAAUUGUCCGCUUGUCGCUGGAAAAACUCCCAAAUUUCUGAUGCACUUUUUGACAUUAGCUCUCCUCCACUUGUUGCCAUUAGCCAUUCUUGCACAUUCGGCAAUAAUCCCUUCAAAAAGUAUUGGUAUUGGUGCCAUUUCUCGUACCCAUGAUGUGGACACUUCAAGAGUAGUCCAUUGAAUCGCUCCCAAGUUUCGAAAAACUGCUCGUCCUCUCUUUGUGUAAACUCUGAGAUUUCCCUGCGAAUAGAAUUGGUUUUAUGCACUGGGAAAUAUUUAUUUAGAAAUUUUGUAACCAUUUGUUCCCAUGAUGCAAUGCUAUUAGCAGGCAAAGUAUUUAACCAUGAACGAGCUCUAUCCUUUAAAGAAAAUGGGAAUAAUCUAAGUUUAACAUCAUCGUCUGAAAAAUUUUCAUAUUUAAAAGUUUGACAAAUGGCAUGAAAAUCAUUCAGAUGAUUAUAUGGGUCCUCAUUUUCUAGGCCAUAGAAUGUGGGGAGACAAUUUAGCACACUAGGUUUUAAUUCAAAACUCCUAGCAGCUACAUUUGGGUAUCUUAUGCAUGAUGUGCUCAAAUUAGCUAAGGGACUAAAAUAAUCCUUAAAUGGCCUCUCCUGUGGUGCUUGUAAAUCCAUUUUAUUUUUAAAUUGUUUGUGUGUGCGAAGUGUUUUUUCUAAUUCAAGGUCUAUAGGUUCAAGAUUUGGUAAUAAUGACCUACGACCAUGCAUGCAAAACAAAUAAAAUAAAAAUAAAGAUGGGAAUAAAACGAAUAAAAAUAAAGAAAAAUGAGAAAUUACGAUACUAACCUUAUUGCGCUGUUACAACUUUUCUAUAAAAACACACUAAAACAAAUACGUGAAAUAAAUUAACUAAAAAUAAAUUAAUUAAAAAAAAUUACAAAGAAAAAUAACUUAAAAAUUAAAUUGCAGAAUUGUAAAGAAUAGAGAAAGAAAAGAAAUUAUUACCUCUAAUUGCAGAUUCACUUUUUUUUUUCUCUUUUUUUUUAUAAAAAAAUACAAGAAAACAAAUAAAAGAAAUUAUUCACAAAAAUUAAUUCUAUGAAUUAAAAUUACUUACCUCCCCGGCAACGGCGCCAAAAACUUGUUGUGCAAAUUUUAAUGAACUCGCAAGCGCACGAAUCUAUUGUAGUAUAGAUCAAUGGUGACGAGUGUCGAUCCCACGAGGAGGUGGAUUUUAAUUAUAUGUAGAAUUAAUUUUGUAAAUGGGUGGUUGGAAUUGUGGUGGAAAUGAUUUGGAAUAUGCUAAAACUUAAAUUAAAAUGGCGAGAAUAAAUUCUGAAAUUGGAAUUGCAAUGGCGAGAAUAAAUUGAAGUGAAAUCUAUUGAAAUAACGUACUUGGGUAUCCGGAUCCGUAUCAACAUGCAUCAUGGGCUAAAUAAUCCGUAUUAAUGCCAAUUAAAUCAUGAGGGGAGAAUCCACAUCUCAUGAACCACGCUCUAAUCAAUAUGGUGCUAAGGGCUUAUCGUGCCAAAUAAUAAUAACCUUAUACUAGAGAGCCGGUGUAACCAAGACGGUAUCUAGACAAGAUUACUAUUAUUUGUUGACGAGAAGUCAAAACAUCCACAAAAACUAGAGGGGAAGAGAAAAUAAAUUUACCAAAUUAAGCCCAUGACACAUGUUGAGACUUCACCUUCAACCCAAGCUUGAAAGAAAAUUAGCCACUCAUAAUUGAACUAGGGGCAAAAUGGGAAUUUAUUAAAAUACAAAGAAAAUACAAGAUGGAGAAGGAAUUACAGAAAAUGGAUCUCAAAAAUGGAUUCAGAGCUAUCAAAUUAGGGGGGGGAGGCCCCCUUUUUAUAGAUACAUGGAGUAAAUCAUGGCCAUCGGAUUAAAAACAGUUUGGACGCUCAGGAUUGCCCCACGUCAUCAGUCAACAGUCCACGGUUUGACCACGCGGAUGAACAGUAACACAGUUUGACCCGGAUAAACAGUAACACGGUUUGGUUGAAAAUAAUCCUGUGUGAUGCAUGCACCGUACGCGAGAUUUUUCGUCCACUGAUAUGCUGCCACGUCACCAUCAACAGUACAUAAGAAUUUUAGUCCAACAGGAUCGUGACACCUCAUCAGUCAAUGCCACAUCAUCGGUCAAUGCCACGUCAUCGAUCCGUCUAUGUGAACAGUGUCGUGAACAGUAACGUAGACAGUACCGUAUACGUGAAUAGUACCGUACAUGUGAAUAGUGCCAUUUUUCCUUUUAUGCUCCUCCUAAGGUUUUCGACCGUCCUGAGUUCAAAAGUGAUGUCCGUUUUGCUGUCUGAUCUCUCCUUUAUUGUGAAAUGACUAUAAUGCCCCUAAAAUACAUAAAAUACUUAAUUAAAAUAACACACACGUAAUUACAUCACAAAAAGGUUAAAUACAUAAAAGUAAGGGUUGUUAGUAAGACUUGAAAUGUAAAAUGAUGGUUUUCUCCUUUAUAAAUAUGCAUUUUCUAAUACUCAACAGUUCCCAAAUAUGAAAGAUGCUUAGGCCUCCCAUCCAUGAUAGGCCGGAAGAAGAUGAGUUUUUUCAAGGAUGUCAAAUUAAAGGUUUUAAGAAAAAUUUCCAACUGGCACCAUAAAAUGUUCUCUAGUGGUGGAAAGGAAGUUCUUUUUAAAGCAGUCGCUCAAGCCAUCCCAGCAUAUGCCAUGAGCGUUUUCAAGCUCCUGAAGGGGCUAUGUGAAGACAUCCAAAGAGUUAUAGCCAAAUUUUGGUGGGGUUCGAAUCAAGAUAAGCAAGCAAUACACUGGUCGAGAUGGGAAAAAUUAAGUUGUGCAAAGAGUAGAUGGGGGCUGGGAUUCAGAGAUUUUACCAGCUUCAAUCAAGCAAUGGUGGCUAAACAAGGUUGGAGGCUGCUUCAGUUCCCGGAUUCCCUGGUAUCCAAGUUACUGCAGGCCAAAUACUACAGGAACUCCUCAUUCUUGAAUGCAAAGGAAGGUUCUAAUCCUUCUUUUAUCUGGAAAAGCAUCCUUUGGGGUAGGCUAGUUAUAAAAAAAAGGGCAAGAUGGCGAAUUGGGAAUGAGAGCAAUAUUCGGGUGUACAAAGACAAUUGGCUGCCAAGAUUGGAUACUUUCAAACCGAUAUCCCCUCCAACAUUGCCCAUGGAAACAACAGUGGCCAAGUUGAUAACUGAGGACAGCCACUGGAAUGAAGCUAAGCUAAAGCACCACUUUUUCGAGGAGGACACAGAAGCAAUACUCAAAAUUUCCCUCCCCCCAAGCCAUAAAGAGGAUUCCUUACUAUGGCAUUUUGACAAAAGAGAGGCAUACACUGUAAAAAGUGGCUACCAGGUGGCUCUCAAGCUUAAAUUCCCAAAUCAGGCCAGCAGCUCAGCCAGCCCCCCCCCCAAGAUGGAAUAAUCUGUGGUCUCUUAACUGGCCUGAAAAAAUCAAAAUCUUCAUGUGGAGAGCAUCCAAAAACCUUUUUCCAACAGCUGAAAACUUGUGGAAAAGAAAAUGUCUCCAAGAUCCAAUUUGCAAAAGAUGCUGCAGAAGUGUAGAAACCACUUACCAUGCUCUGCUAGAGUGUAAAGCAACGAAGAAGAUCUGGAAUCAUGCUCCUCUCCAGCUGAUAAGAAGCUACGCAGAACUAAUCGUGUAGCCAAACCCAACAGCAAGUACAUGGAAUAUGCAUGGGCACGUCAUUAGCCAUGCAACGUUUGAGAUGAUGAUCUGGAGCUGACUUCUUCAAAUUAACCGUUGCUUAUUUGGAGGAGAUCUUUCAUGCAAGUAUUUGUUUUGGUAUAUUUUGGAAUAAUAGUCAGGUUGUUGAGAUGUUGUUAACGACUUGAUUUAGUUAGCUUUGUUCAAGCCUUGUUUCACGGCUAAGGAAAUUAGUUUUGUAUUAGACUAUAAAUAAGCUCUUUUAUUCAAUAAGAAGAUCAUCAGAUUUUUAUUCCAAAAACAUUAUUUGUGGUAGUUCUCGCCCAAAGAAGAACAAGCAAUUUACUUUGUCAAUUCUGCUAGUUUUGACUGGGACCUCUAUUAGUGGUAUCAGAGCUAGGUUAGGAUGGCAACCAACAAAGAGCGUAUCGAGCGAAUAGAAACAGAGGUCGGAGAUAUACAAGACAAGAUGCAACAGUUGGAGUUGGGGAUCAAUGACAAAUUGGCACACAUUGAGGCAACAUUAAGCAAGCUUGCGGACUCAAUCAAUACUUCAAGAGGGUUGCCAAGUAUCAACAACAAUACUGCAUCUUCACGACUGGGCCGAGAAGUCAGUACAGGAGGGCCUCAACAUUUCCAAUCCAAGGUAGCAAAACUAGAAUUCCCUCACUAUUCGGGCGACGACCCCACCGAAUGGUUCAAUCGUGCAAGUUAGUUCUUCGAAUAACAGGAAUCAACAGACGAUCAGAAAGUGGUUCUAGCGUCAUUCCACUUGGAGGGGGAAGCAAAUCAGUGGUGGCAGUGGCUUCGAAGGUCUUAUCAAGAUGAAGGCAAAGUCGUGACUUGGGAGGUGUUUAUGGAGGAGUUAUGGGCAAGGUUUGGACCGACAGACUGUGAAGAUUUCAACGAGGCUCUCUCACGGGUUAAACAAACCGGUACUCUCCGUGACUACCAGAAGGAAUUUGAACGACUCGGAAACCGUGUUCAAGGCUGGACACAGAAGGCACUUGUUGGAACAUUCAUGGGAGGGCUUAAACCAGAGAUAUCUGAAGAAAUUCGGCUGUUUCGACCGAGGACUCUUAAGGAAGCAAUAAGCUUGGCAAGAAUGAGAGAUGAGCAACUGACCCGACAACGGAGACUGUUGAGAUCACCAAUCCUCACUCGUUCACCAACGGCUCAAGUCACCAACCAACGUGCUUCACCAACAGUACCCUUUAAGAGACUUUCUUGGGAGGAGAUGCAAAAACGCAGGUCACAAGGAUUAUGUUUUAACUGUAAUGAAAAAUUCUCUGCAGGUCAUAAGUGCAUAAAGGCGCAAUUGUUAAUCUUAGAAGCAGAUGAUAACGAAGAGUCCACGGAAACAACGCAACAUGAGUAUGAGACGGAAGAGCACGACAAACCUAAAAUAACAUUCUAUGCUUUGGCGGGUUAGGCUGCUCCUCAGACAAUGCGAGUGAAAGCUAAGAUUGGGCCACACGAGAUUAUUGUACUAGUGGACAGCGGCUCAACGCACAAUUUUAUCAACUCGCGUUUGGCUAAUAUGCUUCAGCUCCCAGUUCAACCGACAUCAGCAUUUCCAGUAAAAGUGGCCAAUGGAGAGAAAGUUAUUUGCCAGGGGAAACAUGACAAGGUACAUGUUUUAAUUCAGGACAUCCCUUUUGAACUUACUCUCUACUCAUUGCCGAUUACAGGACUCGACGUGGUGCUUGGUGUCCAAUGGCUUGAAAGCUUAGGGUCGGUGGUUUGUAAUUGGAAACAAUUAACAAUGGACUUCGAUUGGGAUAAUGCUAAGCGAAGGUUGCAAGGGCUGGAUCCACAAACAAUUCAAGCUACAACAUUAUCUGAAGUUGCCAAAGAUAUGAAACAAGGGCACAACGUGUUUGCUAUAUGUCUCUAUUUAAACAAUGAGGAAUCAUAUACAGUAGCACCGGCCAGCAUGAGGAGUUUGCUAGAGGAAUAUUCCGAGCUGUUCGUGGAACCCAAACAACUCCCACCAACACGGGAAAUCGACCACCAAAUCACUCUUAAAGAAGGAACAGAACCAAUUAAUGUGAGACCCUACCGGUACGCUUAUUUCCAAAAAGCGGAGAUUGAGAGACAAGUGAACGAAAUGCUGUCUUCCGGGCUCAUUCGACCAAGCACCAGCCCCUUCUCAUCACCGGUACUCCUAGUAAAAAAAAAGAUGGCAGUUGGAGGUUUUGUACUGACUACAGAGCACUCAACAAGGCCACAGUAAAAGACAGAUUUCCAAUACCAACAGUAGAAGACAUGUUAGAUGAAUUGCACGGUGCAACAUUCUUCACCAAACUAGACCUCAGAGCCGGCUACCAUCAGGUACGGCUAAACUCAUCAGAUAUACAUAAGACGGCUUUUCGCACACACAAUGGCCAUUAUGAAUAUCUGGUCAUGCCAUUCGGCUUAUGCAAUGCUCCCUCUACUUUUCAAGCAAUUAUGAAUGCUAUUUUUCGGCCCCAUCUUCGGAAAUUUAUAUUGGUAUUUUUUAACGACAUCUUGAUUUAUAGUCCCACGUGGGAAUGUCAUUUGAAACACGUUAGACAGACCUUGGAAAUUCUUAAACAACAUCAAUUUUUUGUCAAGGCUAGCAAGUGCAAUUUUGGCCAGCAAGAACUUGAAUAUUUGGGACACAUCGUCACUUGCCAUGGUGUGAAGGUGGAUGAACAGAAAAUUGCAGCAAUGGUGUCAUGGCCAAAGCCACGGAAUAUUACAGAGCUAAGGGGAUUUUUAGGCCUAACAGGGUAUUAUCGCAAGUUCGUUCGUGGGUAUGGCCUGUUAGCCCGGGCCCUAACCAAUCUUCUUAAGAAAGGACAAUUCGGGUGGAAUACUGAAGCUGCAACAGCAUUUGAGCAAUUGAAACUUGCCAUGACUCAAACUCCAGUACUUUCUAUGCCUAAUUUUAACGAUGUUUUUGUUAUUGAAACUGAUGCGUCCGGUGAUGGCAUAGGAGCAGUACUGCAGCAAAACGGAAAACCAAUAGCUUACAUGAGUCGAGCGUUGGGUAUAACAAAAAAGACUUGGUCGACAUAUGCGAAAGAGAUGUUGGCAGUGGUAGAGGCGGUCAGAUUUUGGAGGCCUUAUUUACUGGGACAACGAUUUGUGAUACAAACAGAUCAAAAAAGCUUAAAAUAUCUCUUGGAGCAGAAGAUAGCAACUCCUGAUCAACAGCAAUGGAUGGUCAAACUCAUGGGUUACGAUUACGAAAUCCGAUACCGCCCCGGCAAGGAAAACGCUGCUGCCGAUGCACUCUCUAGAAGAACUGACAGCCCAACUCUUAAUCAUCUUUUUGUACCGCAGGUGUCACUAUGGGGAGAAAUUAAAAAGGCUAUGCAUGAAGAUGAUUAUCUAAAGAAGAUUGCACAGCAAGUUGAGACUCAACCCGACGGCCCUUACACGGCAAAAAACGGCCUCAUAUUCUUCAAAGGCAGGGUAAUAGUUCCGCGAAAGAUGCGUGACUUAUUAUUAUUUGAGGCCCACAAUACGAAAAUAGGAGGGCAUUCCGGAGUCCUUCGCACUUACAAACGCUUAGCGCAGCAAUUUUAUUGGCCCUCAAUGUUUCAAUCUGUUCAUGAUUAUGUAAGUAAGUGUGUUGUUUGCCAGAAGACGAAGAGUGAAACGCUACAACCAGCAGGGCUUCUUCAACCGUUGCCUGUUCCUUGCCAAGUGUGGGAGGAUAUUUCUUUAGAUUUUAUUGAAGGGCUGCCUAAUUCACAAGGAAGAGAUACAAUAUUUGUGAUAGUCGACAGGCUCAGUAAAUAUGCAUUCUUCCUUUCCUUAUCUCACCCAUUUACCGCUAAAUCUGUUGCUGAAAGAUUUGUUGACGGAGUGGUAAAACUACACGGCAUGCCCAAGAGUAUUGUAAGUGAUCGGGAUCCAAUAUUUAUUAGCAAAUUUUGGAGUGAAUUUUUUACACUGUCAGGCACACAAUUAACGAUGAGUUCAGCCUAUCAUCCGCAAACGGACGGCCAAACAGAGGUUGUUAACAGAUGUCUGGAGCAAUAUUUACGCUGCUUUGUCCACCAGUGGCCACGCAAGUGGAACAUGUAUCUGUCGUGGGCUGAGUUUUGGUACAAUACCACUUUUCAUGUAUCCACCGGAAUGACCCCUUUUCAAGCUCUCUAUGGCCGGCCUCCACCUUCUGUCCCCAUGGAUUCGAUCGGGUCUUCACCGGUUCACGAAGUCGAUCACGCCUUACAGACCAGAGAUGAGUUAUUGCGGCAACUAAAAUCUAACCUUGCUGCAGCGGCUAAUCGAAUGAAACAAACGGCCGACAAGAAAAGGAGGGAUGUCGAAUUCAAAGAAGGAGACAUGGUGUACUUGCGCUUGCAUCCGUACCGGCAAUCUUCAGUUUUUAAACGUGCACAUCAAAAAUUAUGCAACAGGUAUUUUGGACCAUAUCAAAUAAUUCAAAAAGUGGGGCCUGUCGCUUUUAAGCUCCAGUUGCCAGAAGGUGCCAAGGUCCAUUCUACAUUUCAUGUUUCAGUACUAAAAAAAGCAGUGGGAGAUUCGACAGAGAGCAGCACGGAGUUACCUCCUAUAGAUGAUGAAGGUGUGCUGGUUUUGGAGCCUAAAUCAGUUCUGGACACUCGGUGGCUUAAAAGAGGUGGUACUGUUAUUGAGCAAAGUCUGAUUCACUGGAACAAUCAACCAAUGGAAGAGGCCACUUGGGAAGAUACUGUCGUCAUUAAGCAGCGGUUUCCUUCGCUGACCCUUGAGGACAAGGGUCCUCUUUCAUGGGGGAGUGAUGAUAAGAAGCUACGCAGAACUAAUCGUGUAGCCAAACCCAACAGCAAGUACAUGGAAUAUGCAUGGGCACGUCAUUAGCCAUGCAACGUUUGAGAUGAUGAUCUGGAGCUGACUUCUUCAAAUUAACCGUUGCUUAUUUGGAGGAGAUCUUUCAUGCAAGUAUUUGUUUUGGUAUAUUUUGGAAUAAUAGUCAGGUUGUUGAGAUGUUGUUAACGACUUGAUUUAGUUAGCUUUGUUCAAGCCUUGUUUCACGGCUAAGGAAAUUAGUUUUGUAUUAGACUAUAAAUAAGCUCUUUUAUUCAAUAAGAAGAUCAUCAGAUUUUUAUUCCAAAAACAUUAUUUGUGGUAGUUCUCGCCCAAAGAAGAACAAGCAAUUUACUUUGUCAAUUCUGCUAGUUUUGACUGGGACCUCUAUUACCAGCCCAAUUUUCAGAAUUCUCCAAACCAGAGCAUCCUCAGCAUCAUCCAAAAUAUGCCCUCCAAUAUGCGGAAGUCUAAUUUCGAUCUCUUGAUCUCUCUAUGUUGGGUGGCUUGGUAUGCUCGAAACAAGUUUAUUUUCGAAGGUAAGAAGAUAGACCCAAGGCUCUCUGUAGCUAAAGCUGAAGCAGUGAUUGAUGCUUUCCAAAGAGCUAGGAAGCCUGGAGCCACUCAUAUCCAUAACAGCAGCAAAGUACCUCAGCAUAAGUGGAAUCCCCCUCCGAAGAAUGUUGUCAAGGUUAACGUGGAUGCAGCCAUCAACAGCAAGAGUCAAAUGGCAGGCUUAGGAGCUGUAAUUAGAGACUCAAAGAACAAAUUUGUAGCUGCAGGCAUCAUGCAAACUGGUUUGAAGGAGCAUGUCAACUAUGCAGAAGCUGAAGCCAUUGUAUAGGGUUUAAAGCUAGCUAGAAGGGCAGCUCUUUCCACUUUGAUCAUAGAGUCAGAUUGCCUAGAAGUGGUUGAGUUAGUAAACAACAUAAAGAGCAACAAAACAGGACAAUGGUGGAUAAUUGAAGAGAUCCAGAACUAAAAAAGUGAGUUUUGUAAUGUAAUUAUCAAUCAUAUCCCUAGAACCUAUAAUGUUUGUGCUCAUUCCCUAACAAAACUUACUGUGGGAGCAAAUACGCCUGCUGUCUGGUUAGACCAUAUUCCAACAGAGGUGAUGAAUGUUCUGAUUUAGUGUUGUUUUUAAUGGAAAGGAUUACUUUCUUCAAAAAAAAAAAAAGAAUAAGAAGAAAGCAUAAUGCGACCCUCCAACAGCUUAAUCUAUGGAAUUAUCGUGUUUUGUAAGUUAGGGUCCAAUGGCGUUUUGGCACAUCAUAUGAUAGACCACUAUAUUGCGUUGCUUUACAAAAGAUUAAUAUUUUUAAAAUUAUUAGGUAAGUUUAGGCUCAGUGGCACUUUAACUCAUGAUAUGAUAGUCCAGGUUUUCGAGGACCACUAUAUUGUAUUGAUUUAAAAAAAAAUUAAUAUUUUUUAAUAUUAAUAUUCUAAAUUAUAUUCAGUUAAAAUAUUAAAUAUUAAAUACAUUCUUAAUAUUAAUAUUCUUAGACGAAAUUCUUUUGCUGGCUUAAGAAUAAAAUAUUAAAUAAUUUUAUUUUUCUUUUAUUGUGUAACGUGGACCCAAAAAAAAAAAGGAAAUGAAUUUAAUAAAACCUUCAUUCCGCCACCAUCCAUGUUAAUUGUUUCCAAAUUCCAACCUCCGUACUCUCUUGAGGAGUUUCCCAUUCAUCAAUUAUUAUUUUUUAUAAUCCAUACCAUCCUGAUAUAAUUAAACACCAUUAAUAAUGUACCAGCCUUUAAAUAGUAAUUAAUUUAUUUAUCUAAUUCACCAAAUGUUUUUUCCGGUACAUAUCUCCAUUGGUAUCAAGAAGAAGCAGAACCCAAACAAAUGUUUCUUGCAUCUUCAUAUUUGUGCAAAUUCAUCCUUUCAUUGAGAAUAACCAUUUCCAGGCAGCAGUUGGCAAUCAAUUCAUGCGCACGUCGAUGCUAUUCAUAGAUAUUAAAGACAAUGAUGAACCAAAGGUGAUAAAUCAUAAAUGCAUAAUUACCAAACCUCCAUCCUUCUCUCAUUAUGAUUUGAUUUUAAAUGAAUUAUUGCUUGGUAACAUUAUUUCCAACCAUUGCAAGCCCUUUUUUUUUUUUGGGAGAAAUUUCAAUUGAAAGUGAAACCUUUAGACAUUUACCUAAUGAAGUUAGUUAAUCGGGAGGGUGGAAAAAAAAAAGGUUGACGCAAGUCAAUACACAAUAAUUAAUUAAAUCCGGAGUGACUAAAACAGAGCCACGACUUUUUCAAAAAUAUCUGCAUUCAUCACUUUCUCCUCGUUUGUUGUCAUCCAAAAUUAUUCACCAAUACCAUGGCUGAUGCAAUCGUUUCCACUAUCUUGGAGCAGCUGAUUUCCUUCGCUGCUGAAGAGAUAAAACAACAGGUGAUCGAAGUUACACCCCUCAUAUUACAAAUACUUCCAAUGAUUUUAAUUGGUUUUGUUUUUAUCAAAAACAUUAUAUAUUUUUGCUUUAUUUUAUUUAUCUGGUAAUUUUAGAUUUUGAAAUUUGAAUUGAAUUUAAUUAAAAGGUCAUGUAGUAACCACUUAUUUUUAUUUUAUUUCAUUUAUAUUCUCAAUAACUAACCAUAUUUUGGUAACUUAAUAUAACUCUCGUACAUAAGAAAUGAUCAAAACCCACAAUUUUAACUCUGUAUAAAUAUUCAACGUUGAGUCAUUAAUUCUCAACUCAGCACUGAAUCCCAAAGCUAUUACUUAGACUCUAUGAAAAAAUUCAUAGUUUUCUUACAUUCUUUGAGUUUGGUAAGUGAUUUCGUAUAAUUUCUUUUCAAGUUAAAUUUUAAUUUGGUUUAUGAUAUAGUCUCUGUGCCGAAUUGUAUCUUUUAUGAUUCUUGGAUUUUGGGCUCCAACUUUUUAGGAUUUGAUAGUCAUAUUUUAUGCCAUGCUCAGAUUGAUUUUCAUGAUUUUUAGUAGCCGUUAAGUGACUUACAAUUUGACGAAAGUUUGAAAGGAAAAAUGUUUCAGGAUUAUGUUUUAAUUGACCUUUUAGUAGAAAUAGGAUGCUUAUAACUUAAUGUGGAUGGUUCGUAAAAUCAUGAAAUUUGGAUAGGAUUCACUAGAAAUAUGUACAAGACUCUCCAUAAAGUUUCAUAAUUUUUCAUUCGGUAUGGGGUGGCACAGGUGAAACUUGUGUUUGGUGUUGAAAAAGAAGUGAAAAGCCUUACCAGCCACCUUCAAGCCAUUCAAGUUGUGCUCGAUGAUGCAGAGGAAAAGCAAGUGAAGGACAAAGCUGUUAGUCUUUGGCUGGGUAGGCUCAAGUACGCAUCCUACGACAUUGAAGAUGUGUUGGAUGAGUGGAUCACAGCAAGACGCAAAUUGCAAAUUGAGGGUGGCGUUGAUGAAAAUGCUCUUGUUGUUCCUCAUAAGAAAAAGAAGGUAUGUCUCUGCUUUCCCAGCUCUUGUUUUGGAUUCAAACAAGAAGAAUUUGGUUUCAAACAAGUCUUUCUCCGUCAUGACAUUGCCGACAAGAUCAAAGAAAUCAAUGAAGAGCUACAUGAUAUUGCCGCUCAAAAAGACAUGUUUGAUCUUGUUAAGAGUGGCAAUAAAAGUAGUGAAAGACCAAGGCGUGUACAGAGUACCUCCUUGAUUGAUGAGGAAGAGAUUUGUGGUAGAGUUGGUGAGAGGAAUGAACUCAUAAGCAAGCUGUUGCGUGAGAGUAGCGAGCAACAAAAAGGCCUCCAUAUCAUCUCAAUUGUUGGUAUGGGAGGCAUAGGGAAAACUACUCUUGCACAACUAGCUUGUAAUCAUGACGAGGUGAAGAGAAAGUUCGACAAAAUUCUGUGGGUGUGUGUAUCAGAAACUUUUGAGGAGUUUAGGGUAGCCAAAGCGAUCGUUGAAGUUUUGGAUGGUCGUGAAUCUCAUUUAGCUGAAUUCCAUUCUCUUCUUCAACAUAUUUAUGAAUCAAUUGCAGGGAAGAGCUUUCUUCUUGUCUUAGAUGAUGUGUGGGAUGGAAAUUACUUGAAAUGGGAACCAUUCUACCGUUGUCUAAAGAAUGGUCUCCAUGGAAGUAAAAUUUUAGUUACCACACGCAAAGGGUCAGUCGCAUCCAUGAUGGGAUCCACAGAUAUUAUCUCUGUCAAGGAGUUAGCUGAAGAGGAAUGUUGGUUGUUGUUUAAAAAGAUAGCAUUUUUUGAUCGGUCCAUCGAGGAACGUGAAAAAUUAGAACAAAUUGGGCAAAGAAUUGCAGGCAAGUGCAAAGGUUUACCUCUUGCAGCAAAGACAAUAGGGAGUCUCAUGCGUUCUAAACAAACUGAAGAAGAGUGGAAAAGAAUUUUAAAUAGUGAUUUAUGGAAAGUAGAAGAGAUUGAGAAAGAUGUUUUGUCCUCUUUAUUGUUGAGUUAUAAUGAUUUGCCAUCUAGAGUAAAAAGAUGUUUUUCAUAUUGUGCUGUCUUUCCAAAAGACUACGAUAUAAAAAAAGACGAACUAAUCACAUUAUGGAUGGCUCAAGGUUAUCUUAGUGCAGAACAAGAUGAAGAGAUGGAGACAAUAGGUGAAGAGUAUUUUGGCAUCUUAGCUUCUCGCUCGUUUUUUCAAGAGUUUAAGAAAAGUUAUGAUAAUCGGAUUAUAGCGUGUAAGAUGCAUGAUAUGGUACAUGAUUUUGCCCGAUUUGUAAGUCAAAAUGAAUGUUUUUCGAUGGCAAUUAAUGGUAGUGAAGAACCAAACGCCACAAACUCUCUUGAUGAAAAGGUCUGUCAUUUAAUGUUAAUCUUUAGUAAAGGGGCUUCAUUACCUGUUUCCACUCGUAGAGUUAAAAGAAUGCGUACCCUCUUAAUUAGCGCUAGUGGAUCUGAUCAUUCAUCAUUAAAUGCUGAGAUCGUAGAAGAAUUAUUUAGGGAAUCGACAAGUUUAAGGGCAUUAGAUGUUAGCCAGGUGUCUUUGCCUACAGAGAUUUUAAGAAAUAUAAAAAAGCUGGUACAUUUAAGAUACCUUAAUUUGCGUUUUCCGAAAAUAGUGAAACUACCGGAGACAUUGUGCGAGUUAUAUAAUCUAGAAAAGUUAGAUAUUAGUUAUUGUUUUAAUCUUAAAGAAUUACCUGAAGGGAUUGGGAAGUUAAUAAACAUGAAGCAUUUACUAAAUAGAGGUACUAAUUCUUUAAGGUACAUGCCAGUAGGGAUUGGGAGAUUAACGGGUCUUAGGACCUUGGGUGAGUUCCGCGUGAGUGCAGGAGGAGAUGUUGAUGGUAGGAAAGCAUGUAGGCUUGAAUCUCUUAAAAACUUGGAACACCUUCAAGUAUGUGGUAUACGUAGACUGGGUGAUGUAUCAGAUGUGGGCGAGGCUAAGCGAUUAGAACUUGACAAAAAGAAAUACCUCUCUUGUUUGAGACUUCGGUUUGAUAAGAAGAAAGAAGGAGGAGAAAGGAGGAAGAACGAAGACGAUCAACUACUUCUUGAAGCCCUGCGACCAUCUCUGGAUUUAAAGGAAUUAGAGAUACAGUUCAACCGAGGCAACACUGUUUUCCCCAGCUGGAUGACGUCAUUAACCAACUUAAAGAGUUUAGGUCUCUCUUUGUGCGAAAAUUGCGAGCAGUUGCCUCCUUUGGGAAAAUUGCCAUCCCUCGAACAGCUCUUCAUAUCGUACAUGUCGAGUGUGAAAAGAGUGGGUGAUGAAUUUCUGGGGGUAGAAAGUGAUCGUCAUGACUCAUCGUCAUCUUCAUUAGUUAUUAUUGCCUUCCCCAAAUUGAAAUCACUUAGAAUUGAGGGAUUGAUGGAAUUGGAGGAGUGGGAUUAUGGGAUUACAAGAACGGGAAACACCGUCAUCAACAUCAUGCCCCAUCUUUCUUCCUUGGUAAUUGAUAGUUGCUACGAAUUAAAGGCACUGCCCGAUCACAUUCAUCAAACGACGACAUUGAAGCGAUUGUGGAUUUUGAAUUGUGGGCCUCUGGGAGAACGUUACCGCACGGGGGAAGGAGAAGACUGGCCUAAUAUAUCACACAUUCCCAACAUACAUAUUCGUUAAGAAGGAUUUGCGCAUUUGAGAUUUGGCGUUGACAAGUAAUUUCUUCUCUUACUCUGAUUUGCUUUUGUUGUUGUUUUUAAUCUAGUUAAGAAGUGUAAAUAGCAUUUUGAAUCAAACUCUAUAUCAGAAAUCUGCAAUACAUACUUUCUAAUAUUCUGAUUUUCAUAUCCUAUGAAUAUACGAUUUUUAAUUUGUGAGAUGGGUAACGUUACUGUAAAAGAUUAUUAAUGCAAUAUGAGUAAUUCUUUUGCAGGACAAGUGACCUACAUUUAGUUUGGCUUUGGAGUUGAAUAAUAACCUUUCGAGGUCCCGACAAACAAAAAACGAAGCUUAAUUUGCCACAGAUUGCACGUAUUGCCAUUAUUGACAAUUUUCUGCACAAGUGAUCGAGGGUGAGGUCCUGUCCUGAAUAAAGCUCUCGUGACUGAACUUAGGUUGAUGUCAAAAGAGGUAAAUUAUCGGCAUGCCUGACUAUUUUGACCAUUACAUGAUUCAUAAAUUGAGUGAUUACUUUUCAAGGUUUGCUUACUUAACCGGGUGACCAAUUUCUUGUAACUAAAUGUAUGAUAUGAAAUGAGAAGCUUAUUAGUGGAAGGAUUGCCUGUAACAGAACCCAAAGAAAAUGAAACCAUUUCAAGGCAGCAGCCGGCAGUUGGGAGUGAAUGGAGGGCCUUCACAAAAUUCUCAAGCAGUUGCAAUGCAAUUACGAUCAUCCUCAGCCUCAGGUAAUUUCUUCUCCUGCUUUGUUUUUAUUUGUUACCUAAUUAAGAAGCAUUAUUUGUUUUUAUUUGUUACCUAAUUGAAGGACAAGUGCUGAAGAGUGGGAAUGGUGCUAUAUUGGGGAAUAAUGCAGGAGGAGGUAAAUUAUUGGGAGUUUCUUCAACCUUGUUUUCUUUGAACCAGCGCCUGAUCCACAAGACUCCGUUAAUUUGGCUUUUGAUCGGCUGAUUGAUAAAUUUUCAAUUUCUUUUGUGAUAAAUGUAUAUGUGAAGCAGGCAGCAGGACAUGACUGUGGAAAAGAGAAGAUCUUAGUGAAAGCUGAGACUCAGAUAUUUCUACAAAGUAUGUGUUUUGGCUGAUUUAUCUAAUUCAUGAAAUUUUAUUUCCAUCUGUUACAAGAUCAAACUGAAGCAGAACUCAAAGAAAAGUAUUCUACUUCUUACGGCAAUCUUGCCUUCGUUCAGAUUAUGGAACCAUUUCCAUGCAGCAAAUUCAUCCAAAAGUUUGAAUAAGUUUCAUGGUUGGACACUGUUGGCUUCUUUUUCUUUUGGGGUGCAUUUAGGUGCUAUCAAGUGACAGCCGUAAGUAUGAUUGCACUAAGCUGCUGCUGGGAAAUUCGAGGUUUUGAUGGCUGCCCACGUUAUUGUCAAGAAACUCCUCAUGUAAGAAGUUGUAGUUCUUUUCAUCAGCUUGAACCUAAAACUGUCGCUAUUGAUAACUCAGGUUUUUGUUAUCAACUAUAUCAUCUUUUUCACUGUUUUGAAACUCUUUAAGAUUAAACUUCAGUAAAGUUCUUUCAGUUAUCCACAUAAUCAGGCUGAGGAUACUUUAGUAAAGUUGCUUCAGCUAUUCAAAUGAAAAAUCUCAUUGAUUUGAGACUUCCUUCAUUAUUGUUUUUGAUUAAAAUGCUAAGGGUCCAGAUAAAAUAAUAUUUAAUUGGUGGAAGGUGUCCCUUGGAAGUACAUCAUGAUUAGCUGUUGUGCUAAUCAUGCCAAUGCAUAAUUCGGCCCCUAAUGUGGGUACUCUGUUACAUUGUUCUGCAAAUUCUCCAAAAAAGUUAAAUCAAUAAAUUUUGUAUUAGCUAGAUUAGCUCUAGGUUGUGAGGAGUCUGUCAUAUGGGAGAACCCAUUUCCAGAAAAUAUCUGGUAUUUGUUCCAGUCUUCUAAUGAAUGAAAGUUAUGAUUCCUUUUCAAAAAAAAAAAAGAAUUUUGUAUUAGUUCUAGUGCGUUGACCUAAAUGCUAUUCUAUAUUUUAGUGCCUUAAUUCUAGAACCUUGGCUCCUGCCAGAGCAUGCGGAGAUAAUGGUAGGGAGAGUGUUUGUGUAUUUUAACCAUGAUAAAGCUAAUGUUCCCAAUGAUUUCUGCUGGUGAGACUUGUGAAGAGGGUGAAUGAGGCAACUGCUAAUAUUCCUGGGUGGGAUACAGUAACUAGAGGCUGAGAUCAGGUGGUGGAAUUUUUUGUUUGAUCGAUGAUACCAGAAUUGUCCACAAAAAGUUUGUUGAUACAAAUUACAGGUGAUAGAAAGAGGUAUAGGUGGAGAAGAGAAAUCUGCGAGUCAAAUUAGGGAUAAUUGAUUUGCUGAUGCAAGUUACAUUGAAUAAUAAUAAUAACAAUUGCAUGAAGAUCCCUUAUUAAUCUUGUGUUCUCCUAUCUUUUACAUUCAGCUGGUAUACUUAAGCCUUGCUUGUGGAAUGUUUUAACCUUUAAAUUCACUACCCCUGGAUGUUGGAUUUUCUAGAACUUCAAAAUGAUUAAUGGAGAAAGAUCCCAUUAUCGAUAUCGCUAUAAGAAAUUUUAUUUAUACUUCCAAAGAUACAUUAUAUAUUUAUGUGUAUCUCUUUAUACAUGACAUUUAAGCAUCCAUAAACUGUCAGACAGAGGAAGGGGGUUGAGUGUAAAGAUUCUGUUGACCUAGGGGUUGCCUGCUUAAUGUCACUUGUUAGUGAUCUAUUAUUUAUUUCAUAUUUUGAAGAAUUUAAAGGGCAAUCCUGCUUGUUUGUGUUGUUAUCUCCUUCUAACUUACGGUCGUACCUAAAGAGCAUAGUUUCAUAUGUGUUACCCUGAGAUGUACAGAAUUUCACAUUUGCCUCAGAUUAAGCUUAAUUUCCCACAGAAUAGAGCUGUUGUGACUGAACUUAGGUUGAUGUCAAAAGAGGUAAAUUAUUGGCAUGCCUAGAUAAUUUGACCAUUUCCUAAUUCAUAAGUCUACAUUAAUUUUGAUUUUGAGUUGACUGAUUUCUUUUCAAGGUCUGCUUACUUAACGGAGUGACCAAUGUUUUUCAACUAAAUUUAUCAUAUGAUGCAGGAAGCAGGGCAGGAUAUGAAAUGAGAAGCUCAUUGGUGGAAGUAUUGCCUGUAACAGAACCCAAAGAAAAUGAAACUAUUUCAAGGCAGCAGUUGGCAGUUGCAAGUGAAUGGAGGCCCUUGCCAAAAUUCUCAAGCGGUUGCAAUGCAAUUACGAUCAUCCUCAGCCUCAGGUAAUUUCUUCUCCUGCUUUGUUUUUAUUUGUUCUCUAAUUAGGAAGCAUAAAGUAUCUUGAAUCAUUUUCUGUAUCUGGAAUAUAUGCAAGAGUUUCUAAAAUUUUGAUAUGAGUGUAAUGAUGGUAAUUUCUGUUUUCUGUCUGUCAUCAAAUGUUAGAAAACUUUCAUUGAGACCCUUGAACCGAGUCAUUUUUGACAAGUGAAGUGCUGAAGAGUGAGGAGUAAGAAUGGUGCUAGAUUGGGGAAUAAAGCAAAAGGAGGUAAAUUAUUGGCAGCUUCUUCAGCCUUAUUUUCUUUGGACCAGUGCCUAAUUCACAAGUCUCCGUAAUUUGGCUUUUGACCAGUUGAUAGAUAAAAUUUUAAUUUCAUUGGUGCUAAUGUACCCGUGAAGCAGGCAGAGAAGGACUGUGGAAAAGAGAAGGUUUUUAGUGAAAGCUUAAACUCAGGUAAUUCUAAAAAUUAUAUGUUUUGGCUGAUUUAUCUAAUCAGGAAAUUUUAUUUCCAUCUGUUACAAUAAAACAGAAACAGAACACAAAGAAAAAUAGUCUACCUCUUGUGGCAAUCUUGCCUUCAUUCAGACUAUGAAACCAUUUCCUUUCACCAAUUUCUUCCAAAAGUUUGAACACGUUUCAUGGUUGGACAUAGUUAGCUUCUUUCUCUUUUGGUGCAUUUAGGUGCUAUCAAGUGACAGCCAUAAGUAUGAUUGCAUUAUUGGGAAAUUUUAGGUUUUGAUGGCUCCCCAUGUUAUUGCCAAGAAAUUUUAAGUCCUCAUGUCAGAAGCUGCGUUUCUUUUCAUCAGCCUGAACCCGAACCUGUCACUAUGGAUAACUGAGGUUUUUGUCAUCAACUAUAUCAUCUUUUUCACUGUUUUGAAACUGUUAAGAUUAAACUUCAGUAAAGUUGUUUCAGUUAUCCAUGUAAUCAGGCUAAGGAUAUUUAGCAGCUUAUUUAGGCAACUGCCAGAAUUUAGUUUGUUCGCUCGAAACUUGUAUGGUGACAAGGAUACUGGCAAGGAUAGUGAGAUAGUUUUUUGUGUGAGUGAAUUUUGAAAGCUUGGGUGUUCUGGGAUUUGCAAUUGCAAUCAUCCUCUGCUUUAGGUGAUUUCUUCUCCUGUUCUGUCUUUAUUUUCUCUCUAAUUGAAAGCAUUUCAAUCAAAUUCUGUACCAGGAAUACGAAAAAUUUACUAAUAUUUUAUUUCCAUCUGUUUGCAUUGAUAACUUGGCCGCAUAUGUACUAGUUAAAGAACAAACAGAAGCAGAGUUCAGGAAAAAGUUUCUUCGGCCACCAUAUUUGAAAAUGAAACCAAUUCCAGGAAGCAGUUGGCAGCAAAUUCAUACAAAGUAUAGACAAUGAUGUGCAAAAAGGUGAUUCGCAAUUUCAUUUUUUUAAAAUGAAAUUAUUUGUUAAGUUGGAGCUGAUAUUGUUAGAAGGCCAUUGAGCUAACCUAUGACACUGCUUGCCUAGAUUGCAGGAGGUCAAGGCUCAAAAGAUGCACUGAAUUUUAAAAGGCAUGCAAUAAUUCUUAUGGCCAUUUGUCAAUGGUGGAAUGCUUUUAGCUUCUUUUCCUUUCGUGCAUUUUGGGGUUCUAUCAAGCGACAGCCGUAUGUAUGGAUGGAUAUAGCUGCUGCGUUGAUUUCUAAUGCGGUGGAGUAAUCGUCGUUAGAAUCUGAAUGAUAUGUCUAAGACGUUGCAUGCAUCAAGAAAAUUGCAGAUGAUUAAACCUUGCCAUCUAUGCGUUGUAUGAGGUUAUAGCAACUAUCUAUCUGGUCACCGUUUUAAAAGAAUAAGACAAAGGGAAAAAGAGAAAGAAAAGAAUGAUUCGACAAUGGCAUUAAAGUUCAACAUACCCCAAGAUCUUGUAAUAAUGCCAUUAAUCAUUUCUAGCUAGGCUAGCCUUAGAGAAAAGUGAAACUGUUGCACAGGUAGAAUCACACCCCUCAGAGAUAAUGUGUUUUUAUUCAGCUCUUCGAAUGAAUGAAGUUUAUUUUCUCGUCAAAAAAAAAACUGCUCGUUCCGCUGGUUUCAUACAAUGUCAACUAGAAACAUCAUACUUUCGUAUAAGUUCAUUAUUGUUUCUUGGAAAUAUCAGAAUAUUUCUUAGAGUUUGUAUAAAAUGAAAAGAUUUUAAAAUAUAAAUUUAAUAUUUGUUUAUUACCGUUGUUUGGUCUAAUUUCCUCGGGAGAAUUUUCAGAAUUUAUAGGACAUUAGUUUAUAAUUUGCGCAUUGACAUAUAUCUUAUUUUAUCAUUUUGAAUGAAUUGCACGGCGAGGCUUAUCAACUUUGGAUGAAUCCUCCAAUUGUCGCAGUCCAAGACUGGCUGCAGUGAGUGAAAAUUUACCCAUAUAUAUGCUGGCUAUUUUUAUUGGCGACGAAUUCGUUGUAGUUGGUCCAUCUUGCUAUUCUCGGACAAUAUUAGAGAAAAUAAUCAUAUUAUUUCGCGUGAUGUGACCUUCCAUAACUUAUCAAUUGAAUUACUGUAAAAUUAUUGUGUAAGUUUAGGCCCAAUGGCACUUUAGUUCGAUAGCCUGGAUUUAAAAGGAAAACUAUAUUGCAUUGCUUCAAAAAAAAAAAAUUAAUGUUUUUAAUAUGAAUAUUCUUAACUAUAUUCAGUUAAAAUAAUAUAUUCUUAAUAUUAAUAUUCAUAGAUGAAAUUCUUUUGUGGAUUUAAGAAUAAAAUAUCAAAUAGUUUUAUUUUUCUUUUGUUGUGUAACUUGGACCGAAAAAGAAAAUGAGCUUAACAUGACCCUCCUUCCGGCACUAUGCAUGUUUUUCUUUUAUUGAUGACAGUGCUCUUGGUGCUUCUCAUCUGCUUCUUGCUUUGGUUUCAAACAAGUCUUUCUCCGUCGAGACAUUUAUUGUAAUUUGAUUUGGAGACAUCUGUCGUUCAAAUAUAUUUCAUAUGCAAGCUGUUGAUAAUUCUGCUUGAGAAAGCCUACAAAGCAGCUGUGUGAUGUAAUAGAAGACUAUAUAUGCAAACGGUCAUCAGUUUCUCUUGAAUUCUUUCUUGAGUUUCUUUGAAUUAUUUGUGAAUGAGUUCUUAAUCGGCUGCUGCUCUUCAGGAAAAGGAAAGUGUUGCAAACUGGUGAAGCUGAUCGAUAAAAGCAAUGUACCAUCUUUGCUGGCAUGGAUCGAUGCCAGUGAGUUUUUUUAUUUGUCAACCUUUUUAAUAAUGCAUAUGUUUUUCUUCAACUUGAAGCGGCAUAUAAGACGAAAGAAGUGAUCUUUAAAGCAUUCUAUGGCAUUAUCCUUUCCUAUUAUAUAUAUCCAAUUGCUCCAAAUUAUUUGUAAAUUACUGAACACGAAUGCUGAUGAAUAAACUGAUGGCUCUAUGUAUGUAUGCACAUGCAUGGAGAAAUUUUAAGUCAGACAUUCUCAUAUAUAACUCGUGGGACCAAAUCAUUAAAUAAUCUUGAAAUCAAAGUAAUAAUUAAAUACAAAUAAAUUGCUCGAAUUGUACAUAUAUCUGAAUCAUGUAGUGAAGAAAAUACAACAACAACAACCAAUGGCUCAAAUUCCCCAUCAACUUCUAGUCUCAACACUUUUGAGUGUCAGAAGCAUUACUCUGCUACCAGUUAACAAACAUAUAAUUAGUAAUUUGCCAUUCACUUCCCUUUUAGGCCUAACACAUUUUCUAUAAAGGAGCCACAGAGUGAACUCAGCAGGAAACACUCAAUUUCAACCUACGUAGGACCAGGAAUUUCAACAAAAAAAAAAGUGUGCAAUUGCUUAUCCUAUCCUAUUGCUACUAGAAAGAAAGUGAACAAUUAAUUUCAGUGAAUAAAUUAAAAAAAAUUACUUCUGCAGAUACUCAAGCUAAGAACACAUUAACCCAUUAAAGACUCCAAAUUGCAUCAAACAAAUUGUUGUUAAACAAGUAAAACAAAGAAAGAGAGUUAAGGAAGCUGACCUAGUAGUAGGGGAGCUGAAGAAAGACUGCCAGUGAAUGUAAGAGAAAAUAAAAUGCAAGAAAUGGUGAAGUGCAGCUUUUCAUGUCAACUUGAAAUUGUUUCUUCUGUUUUUUGUAAUCUUUUGGAUUUUUCAAACAAAGAAAAUGAGGAGCAACCAGGGAGAUAAAAAGGGCGCCAAGGCAACUGUGUGUUGGGUUUAGAGCCAAAAAAAAAAAAGAAUAAGACAUCGUGUUCUUGUGGAGACCAGACCUAUUACGUAUAGGGAUGGCAAUGGGGCGGGGUGGGGGUGGGGAUGCCUACCCCAUUCCCCACCCCAUUAAAAAUUUUUGCCUCCAUUCCCCACCCCAUUCCCCAAUAAAUUUAGUGGGUUGGGGAUGGGGAAUCCCCACGUGGGGAAUGAUUCUCCCAUCCCCACCCCAUUCCCCAUUUACAUAUUUUAUAGUAGAUAUAAAAAUAUGAUUUCAGUAAAUUAAAAAUUAGAGACUUAAGAUAAAAUCAUCACAAUAUUAUAAAGUAUUUAAUUUUAAAAAAAAAUCUCUAAAAAUUUGAAACAAUAUCUUAAAAUGAUAUUAAAAGUGAAAAAUAUUUAAAGAAAGCAGCACCUUAAAAGAGAAAAGAAAAUAUAUUAAUGUUUUAAAGUUGAAAAAUAUUGUAGAAUUUUCUUUUAUUCAUAUUCUAUUUAUAUUACAUAAAAAUUAAAAAAAAUUAUUAAUUGACAUUAUAGUUGAUAAAAUAUAAAUUAUUAAAUAAGAAUUAAAAACAUAUUUAUAUAUAAUGGGGAUUGGGGUGGGAGUGGGGUGGGGAGUGCAAUACCAAACCCCACCCCGUUAACAAUUUGGGGAUUAUUUUUUCCCCACUCCCCACCCCAUUCCCCAAAAAUUAUUAAAAAAUUUCCCCAUUUGGGGUGGGGCUCCAUGGGGCCCCAAACCCGUGGAGGAUUUUGCCAUCCCUAAUUACGUAACGUCCCCUUCAAUACCACUUGUUCCGUAUCUGGUUUUUUCUUCGUCUUUUACAUAUUUAUCCUGUGAUUUUACAAUAACUAAAUAAUCCCCGCAUAGUUUGCAAUUUUAUUCAUUUGGGCCCUACAGAUUUCAGUAAUAGGAAUUAUUAAGGGACAAGAGCGCAAAACAGAAACUCUGUCCACUACUGAUGAUAUAACAACGAACCUUUGUAGUUUCUGCCUGUUAAUAUGAAUUGAUCAGGAGUGUUUCCUCACUUACAAAUUACGAAUUUACAAAAUAUGUAUGUAAGUAUGUGUGUACGUACGUGUGUAUGUAUGUACAUAUAUGCAUACACCUAUGUAACAUUUACUUAUACAUUCUUUUGAGUUUAAAUCUUAAUACACAUUUUCAUGAAAUUUUUAUUUUAUUAAGUAUACAACUACAUACAACUACAUUAAUGUAUAUAUUUUUUAUAUAAGACAUGCCGUCCUAUUAUUCAUAAGUAAACAAUGUGUUGUAAAUAGUAUUCUGUGUUUUCUCAAAGUUGACUUUUCGUCUUUUAUUUUCAGACGCAGACGCUAUGUCAUUUUGUAAUCUUCAAAACAUAUGCAGAGCAGAAUUGGUGUUAUAUGAUUUUGUGAUGCAAUAAGAUUUGCACUUCCUGUGCACUCAAUGGAAUCAUUUCUUUGUAACUAAUUGGGUGGUGGAAUGGUGGUCAAAUAUCGAACGAAGACAGAUCUAUCAAACUCCAGAAACAGGGAAACCAUGCCACGCUAGUAGACAAUAUGCUAGUAUGAACAAACUUGUUUGAAUGGCAAAAACGACAUGACCUGCUGUAGUAUUAGUUCUUUCCCGAACCAAAGGGUGAUUUGCUACGUUAGAUCAUGAAAAUUGAAAAAAAAAAUUAACCAAAAUAAAAAUUCUUACGGUAAGAAUAAAAAUUCUUAAGGAAUUAGUUAGUUAAUUGAUUGAUCGAAUUUAAUCUAAAUUGGAAAAUGAUAAGAUAAUUUUGAAUUUUUUAUUAUAAUUAUUAUUUUAAAGUGGGGUGGGUUUAUACAAUUUGAGGCUUUGAGCGGUGUAAAUAUCACUGCUGAAUUAUUAAAUAUACAGUGUAAAAUUUUGACCUUUAAAAUAUUCCUUUUUUUCAUUUAGCACUAUAAGUUUAAAAAUUUAACAUUUUACCUCAAUAAUUAAAUACUUUUAACUUUAAUCUUCAAAUAUUUACCCUACAACAUUCGGACCUAAAUUUUUAAUCCGACUCGGCCCCUGACCCAAGUGGGAAGAAGAUCAGGCUUAUAAGUUAUAACUAUCACCAACAUAACAUCUUCUGGAAAAUAAUAAGAUUACUCACCUGCAAUUAUGUGAUCAAACUAAUGGUAAGCAAAAUAGAACAGCGUUAUUUCAGUCCCCUUUCAGUUUCUUUAUCAUUUUUCUUUUCCUAUUUAUAAGCUUAAUUCGGUCCAAUAUCGGCUAAUUCACUUUGAUUUCACUUUUCUUUCUUUCGGUUCAAAAAAAUUGAACCCAUUGGCUGUCAAUUCAAUUUUGUUGAAAACCAACUUUGCCUGAAUUUGAGUAAUAAUAGAGGAAAAAAAAAGUGUACUUAGCAGAAGAGAUUUCUCAUUUUUUUCUCAUUCAAACUUCUAAAAUAAAGGGAAAAAAAAAACAAGAGUAAUUGUUAAUUAUCAAAAAUUUGUUUAUACUAUUCCACCAAGAAAAUUAUAAAAAAAAAAUUUAAAAAUUGGAGAAGAAAUAUGAGGUGAAAUACGUGGAUGGCUUAGACUAAUAAUGUGAACAAAUUCCUCUCGGAAACAUGUCAUUGUUCAUCCGGACAACACGCGGCAAUGAGAUUCAAGAAUUAAAUGAUAGGAAUCAACUGUAACCUCAUAAACAAAUGGCCUUGGAGUUGUAAACACCAAGCUCGGCAGAUUAAUUAAACAAGAAUAUCCGAAUUUUCUAUGAUAAUCUCUAGGAAACGAUCAGCUAUAAUAUACGAAAUUAAAAUAUUGCAUAUAUUUUUGAACUCAUGCAUUAAUUUCAAAAAUUAUAUCGUAUUAUAAUUUAUUCACAAAAGAAAGAAAAAUUCACUAAUCAAUUGAAUAAAUAUAAGUAUUUCAUCCAGUGUAAUACUUAUAUCAAUUGAAUAAAUAUAAGAAAAAUCACCAAAAUUCACUAAUCAAUUGGAUAAAUAUAAGUAUUUCUUCCAGUGUAAUUUUUGUUUAAUAGAAAAUCUAUUUGAGAUUUUGUGAGAAGAAACUCAACAAUAAAGUGUGAUAGACUUUGUGGGUAUUAAGAGUUUGACAAGUAUUUGAAAUCUGAAGUUUACGAGCAAACAAACUGAAAUCCGAAGUUUACUGAAGUUUACUAUCAAGAGUUUCAAAACAGUGAAAAAGAUGAUAUAGUUGAUGACAAAAACCUGAGUUAUCCAUAGCGACAAGUAACAUACUGAAGUAAGCCGUUGGGAGCUGGCCUGUUCAUGGGCUAUUUUUCUCUGAUGAUCUGCAUUUUUCUUCCUUUUAAGUGAACCUUGACUCGUAUCAAACCUGUCAAAAGAACAGUUCAUCAACUGAGCUGAGAUUUGCUUUCCUUUUUCAAAACCCACCUGAGAUAUUGUAAUUCCCAAAUUUCUCUCUCUCAGCUACACGAGCAAGCAGCCGCUUUUUCACUUCAUCGAAGAAGGUAAGCGAUAUAUCUAUUUCGUCCGAUUGAUUUCUUGUUUCCUUUUCAGUGUUCCGGUAAAUUAUUGGCAUGCCUGACUUUUUGACCAUUACACGAUUCAUAAAUUUAUAUUAAUUUUGAUUUUGAGUUGACCGUUUACUUUUACAGGUUUGCUUACUUUGACUAGGUGACCAAUUUCUUGUAACUAAAUUUAUGACGUGGGCAGGAUAUGAAAUGAGAAUCUUAUUAGUGGAAGGAUUGCCAGUAACAGAACCCAAAGAAAAUGAAACCAUUUCAAGGCAGCAGUUGGCAGUUGGCAGUGAAUGGAGGCCCCUGACAAAACUUCAGUAAACUUCAGAUUUCAGUUUGUUUGCCCGAAAAUUGCAUGGUGACAAGGAUACUGGCAAGGAUAAUGAGAUAGUUUUUGUGUGAAUGAAAUUACGAUCAUCCUCAGCCUCGGGUAAUUUCUUCUCCUGCUUAGUUGUUAUUUGUUACCUAAUUAAGAAGCAUAAAGUAUCUUGAAUCAUUUUCGUUGUCCGGAAUAUAUGCAACAGUUUUUUACGAUCAUCCUGAAUGACUACUAGAGACAGUCAAGCUAAUGACUAUAAAUUAAGCGCUUCUUGGGAGGUAACCCAAGCUUUCUAAACUUUAUUAUUGUCAAUUUUUUUUCAUAUUUUUUUCUUUUCUUUUACUUAUUUUAUUUUGUUUUAUCUAGAUUUUGCACGAGUUCGAGGGUCGAUGAACAUCAACUUUCCACAUGUCUUUCAACGGCUUAGCUACAACUUUACAUCUUCAAGUGCAAAACCGGGGGAGUUUCUCUUUUCCUUUUCUUUUUCUUUACAUUGAGGACAAUGUUUAUUUUAAGUUUGGGGGUGGGAAUAUUUGCUUUUCAUUUUUUUCCCAAAAAAAAAAGAUUUUAAUGCCUAUGAUGAGUUUAUGAUUGAAAAUGAAUAUGGUUCUUAGAAAGGGAUGAAUAUUAUCUUAGUUUAUACUUGAUUCUUGUGUUAGUUUCGUCUUGAUUGAGAUUCUUUAAAGCGAUUCUUUUAGAAUUUUGACUUGAGAUUUGAGAUUGAUACAGCCUAAGUUGAGAAUUUUAGAUUGAGUAAAUGAUUGUUUGCCUCGAUUCUACAUUACUUAAGUUUACCCAGGCACCAUAGUCAGAAAUAGCUACCUACAACCCUUAAGAGUGAAGCUAUCCUCGAGUAAUUUGGGCCUAUGUAUCACCAGUAUGUAGAGGAUAAUCUACCAUGAGAAGAAGGUUACCUUAAGGGGUAGAGUGAAAGCUCCUGACUAUGGACAAAGAAAUGAAAAAAAAAAAGAAAAAAAAAAGAGCACGAGCUUCAAGAAAAAUCAAAAGAAAAUGCUAAUUUAUGCCUGAGAAAAAAAAAAAAAGAUCAAGAUGAUGAGGUUAGUUUGACCUACCCUGUUUAUUAUUCGAGACAAGGGCUGUUGAUGUUGAAGAUCUUGAGAAUGAGUUUUGAUUGAAUUGAUUCACACACAACACAUGAAUCCAAUAUGAGAUGAGGCUGACCAUUGAAUUAAAGUUAGAACUUUGCUAGUAUUUUUAAUUUUCUUUGAGCUAUAUACUUUAUGCAAUCUUUGAGGCAUUUUUUAUGAUGUUUGUGGGUAUCAUCGCUGGAAACCCUCACGAGACUAUAACUCGUCCACUAGGGCCGCCUAGGGGUUUAAAGGCUUGUUGCAUACGCUAAAUGCAAUCGCGAUCACCUGCGAAAGUGGUUUAGUUAGAAUUUUCUUUUCGUAGUUUUUAUUUUAGUUUUUGCUCGAGGACUAGCAAAAUGUUAAGUUUGGGGGUAUUUGAUGUGCUCAUAAUUUAUCUAUUAUUUUAAUGCUUCCAUAACUUAAUUUUAUGUUAAAUUAUAUUUUAUUAUAUUAAUUUUUAUCUUAAUUUUUAUAUUUUGUCAUUGUAGGAAUAUUGAGAAUAUUCAUGAGAAAAGAAGCUUAAAGAGGAAACAAGUUGGAGUAUAAUGGAAAUAAUGUGGAAGCAAGAGGGAAAGAAAUAAAAAGCCAAAUCAAAGAAAAUUUAAUUUAAGCAUCAUGCAUGCAGUCACGUGAUGAAUAAAGGAAGAGAAGAAAAGGUCAAUAGGCUUUUAAUUUCAAGCUAGUUACGUAGAGCCCAUUUGACAAUUUAAAUGGCAAGCUUACAAUAUAUUAAAGGAAGCAAAUAUUUUGGCAUUGUUUGAAAAGGCUAUUCACGUGGAUGGGCUUUGGUUUCAAUUUUGAUUGGCUUAGGAAUGAAAUAGGCGGCUGGGCUUUUGUUUUUAAUUCCUUUCAUAAGAGGAUUUGACAAGCCACAACAUUAUAAAAAGGGAAAAGCCAAGCGGAAGCCAAAAAAAAAAAAAAAAUAAUAGAGCAGCAGCCGCAAGUUUUGAGCAAAACCGAGAGCAGCAUGAAUAAUUUGGAGCAGAAGGAAGACACAUUAAUUCUUGAGUUUUUCUUUCUCUCUUCUCUAUUAUCUUAUUUGAAUGUUUCCCAUUAAAUUCAUGGAUUAUCUUUAUAUUCCCAUGAACUAAUUUAUUUUACUAGAGCUACGAUGUCCUAGUGUUUUAAUCUCUUGGUGAUUUCUAUUACUGCUUGCAUCUUUAUUUGAUUUUUAGUUAUUUUAAUUUUUAAUUUAAAUUCGCUUAUUUGAUUGUUCAAAUAAAUUAGGGUUAGGAUAAUUUCGGUAACUAAUAGGAUAUUCAAUCUCAGUGGGAUGAUACUCUACUCUUCACUAUAUUACUUGUGCCGACUAGUACACUUGCUAAUUUAUGCAAUAGUUGACAGUUGGGAGUGAAUGGAGGCCCUUGACGAAACUUCAGUAAACUUCAGAUUUCAGUUUGUUUGCUCGAAACUUGCAUGGUGACAAGGAUACUGGCAAGGAUAAUGAGAUAGUUUUUGUGUGAAUGAAAUUAUGAUUAUCCUCAGCCUCAGGUAAUUUCUUCUCCUGCUUAGUUGUUAUUUGUUACCUAAUUAAGAAGCAUAAAGUAUCUUGAAUCAUUUUCGUUGUCUGGAAUAUAUGCAACAAUUUUUAAAAUUUUGAUAUGAGUGCAAUGAUUGUAAUUUCUGUUUUCUGUCUGUCAUCGAAUGUAAGACAACUUUAUUAAGAUUCUUGAACCGAGUCAUUUUUGACAAUUGAAGGACAAGUGCUGAAGAGUGGGAAUGCAAAAAGUUUUGUUGUUUUUAGCCUUGUUUUCUUUGAACCAGCGCCUGAUUCACAAGACUCCAUUAAUUUGGCUUUUGAUCAGCUGAUUGAUAAAUGUUCAAUUUCUUUGGUGAUAAAUGUAAUUGUGAAGCAGGCAGCAGGGCAUGACUGUGGAAAAGAGAAGAUUUUAGUGAAAGCCGAGACUCAGAUAAUUCUACGCGUUUUGGUUGAUUUAUAUAAUUCGUGAAAUUUUAUUUCCAUCUGUUACAAGAUCAAACUGCAAUUAGCAAUUUAACAUUCCCUUAAAACCACUAGCUACAUUUCAUCUUUGCACAAUUACACUUAAAAUUCCACUAAAAGAAACUCUUGAGUUGCUCGCAAGCUAUAUAUCAUUAUUCAUUGAAUUCUUACUGUUGAUGCGAGAUUCUGGUUACACUCUUCCGGCUACCAGGAUAUCUGCUCGAUCAACCUCACCUCGACUAGGAUCUCUCCUCGUAUGCUUUCUUCUCCAAGUACUCAUGCGUUCACAGAAACAAGUCAGAGCACGCCGGUUGUUUUCCCGGCGUAAACCCUCCGACGCUCAAGUCAGAUAUGAAGGCUUUGGGAACGCUUGCCACAGAUCUUAUGGCUUUGUAAAUAGUUUUCUCUUCUUUUCAAUUUCCUUAAUCUCUCUUCUAAUCUCGAAAUUGCUAACCCUUUUACCUUCGCUGGCUACCUUUUUAUAGGCCACUUCUGAGCCCAGGCCUUUUUCCCUUUGCGCUCGUCAUCCUCCCACUUCUCGAAAGUGGAUGCUCCAUUUCCGUAGUCGUGGGUGGUUGCGUGGCCCUCGUGCCUAGAUUCUCGGACUGGAAAGCAUGCCACGCCAACUGUCGUUGACCGGGUCUUCUCGAAUCAACCCUUAGCAGGAAUACAGCAGGAAUGGCUUCAGGCUUCUUAUAGGAGAUUGGCCUCGCGGAUGACGUGCUCGUGGACGAGCAGGGUAUUCCUGCUCCUGCUCCUGCUCCCCCGGAUGCCAGGCUCUUACGGGACCCAUCGGCUCGCAGAACUCUACCAUCAGAUAUCUGCUCAUCAUGCCUGGUCUCGUCGACGUAUUUCUCCUAAACACCGGUCCCCCAGUUUCUGGUGUUGGGUAAUGUAGUGGACCAGCAGUAGAAACUCGACAGUACUUGCUCGCGUGGGGUUGGAAAAGGCUUCCAAGAGUCAUGUCGCAUUUAAUUGCGGACGAGGUGAUGUGGCAGAGAUCUAACCCUCCAUUUGAAUUUCAAACCAACGGUUACGAGACCCUUGGGAUUUGGUGCCGUUAAAUGCUGGCAACCCAAGAUUUCGUCCCCAUUAGGAAACCCAAAUCCUUUCGAACGACAAAUUCAUCAUUCACUCCGUCUCCAUCUCUGUCUCUCCGGCAAAGAAGUUCCAGCAUAAAGGCCUCCAUCUCUGUCUUUCACCGACUGAACCAUUACUUCAGGUAUUUCUUCUAUUUCCUUAGUCUCGGAUAGUUGUAGAUAAUUUCUCUUCUCUUUUGCUUGGGUAGUAGUUGGUGGUGGUGUUGUGGUUAGAGCUUAGGGAAUGUCGAAAGGCAAAGAGAAUGUCAUUGAGGUUGACGACGAUGAGUUGGACUUCCUGCCUAGUUUGCUCACCGAUCCUGCUUUUGACCCCGGGAUCCCCUUAGAGCUCAUUAGAUCUAGUGUUGGCACUAGCGCUAGGAGGAUGUCCCCCCAAACAACCUCCACGAGUGGAAGUAGUGGUGAGGAGAGACCCUCUGGCUCGGAAGACACCCUAAGUGAGGAUCAAUGAGGUGACUCUGGGGAGGGGUCUUCACCAGGAACACCGCGACCAGAAGGGUGUAGUACAGUAGGAGGUAGAGCCUUGUCGCGGGAUUAUGCCAUUGAUUACAUGACCUGUACGACCACAUUCAACGAGCUGGAUGACCUCCGGCUCAGGUAUAGCAUUCCUGGUGAAAUUCCUCUCAAGAUCCCAGGAAAGAAGGAUACACCUAGCCGGCCUCCUCGGGGAUACGUUACCCUAUUUUUGGAGAGUUUUAGGCAUGGGCUGAGGUGUCCCUUGCAACCCUACUUUGCCCGGAUUCUUAACGGGCUAAACCUAGCUCCUGGUCAGCUGAACCCCAACGGGUGGAGAGUGCUCUCUGGUCUGUUCAUACUGUGGGACAGAUGUUGUCAAAGCGAGCCCACGGUCGACGAGGUGAAGCACCUGUACCAACUGAAAAGCAGCCCCAAAGACGUCGGCUGGUAUUACUUCCAAUCAAGUACCAAGAUCAGAAAACCCAUAACCGAUCUUCUUACUGGUGAUGGUGGGAAUUGGAAGAGGAAGUUCUUCUUCGCAGGGGGUCCCUUGUUGUUUGCACUUCACUGGUUUGUCUCUAAUCAAAUGUUUGUUUGUGUUGCAGGUUCUUGGGGUGUCCACUUCCCGCUUAAACCUGACCAGCUCAAACGAGUCGAGGCUGUACUAGCCAAUUCCUGCUCGAACCGAGAGCUGUUAACUAUAUACAACUUGCUCGAGUCUCGCUUGAUGCUUCCUGGCCAUAGGAUGGAGGACGCUGUGAUUGGGGCUCUGACCAGGAAACGUUCUCGACCUCCAACCACGAAGAGGGACCAGAGUAAGGACGCCCCUACUGCAAAGCGGGCCAACGUCGUGCAGCAGGUCUCUCCCUUGAAGACUUUACCUCCUGCUCCUGUCAAAGUCGGGGAAACUAGUGGAGCAGCCACAGAUCCUGCUUCCUCUUCUUCUCCUGUCGGCACUCGGUCUCGCUUACCUGACAGCCGAUCAGAACAAUUGGUCCCCUAUCUCAAUGAGUUAUCUAACCUCGUGAGCAAGAAUGACAUGGAGGACUUCGAUGGCUGCACCUUGGGUGAGCUGGUGGGGGCCAUGCAGUAUAGCGCUUUUCACCUCAGCUGCAUGACCACCUAUUACAAGGCCAAGGUUGGGCGCUACGACCGAAAGAUGAAGGAGGACAUUCAAUCGGCGACGACUAGAGCUGGCGUUGCCGAGAAAAAGGCAGGGGAGCUGAAUGUUGAGAACCUCAAGCUGAUGGAGCAGGAAUCUCUUGCUCAAGCAAAAGCCAUUACCCUCGAGGAGGAGCUGACCAAGGUCAAGGGGGAUCUGCAAAGGCAGAAGGCCACGUAUGAGGCUCAGCUCGAAUCCCUCCGCGACUCCCACCGGGCUCACGUCGAGAACUUGGAGAGGGAGGCCAAGAACCAGUAUGACCAGGGACUUCGGCAUUCCUAUCGUUGCAUCAUGGCCGUCCUCGGGAAGCAGCACCCUGAUCUGAAGAUGGAUGAUCUUGCAGUUGGUGUUGCUCAACAUAUGGACGAGGAAGCGGCCAAGGAAGAUGCCGAAGGGGUAGAGCCGAUCGUGAUUGAGGGGGAAAACUCUCCUCCUCGCACAAUCCCUGCUGACGUUGGCGAGGCGAGCACCGCUACUGAUGUUGGCGAGGCGCGCACCCCCCCGGACGCAACUGGUGAUACCCCCCCCCCGCACCUGAGGAGGUCCAGCCAACCAAUGCUGCUCGGCUUACUGAUCCGCCAUCUUCUUGAUAUAUUUCUUGUAUUGUAAUGAACAACGUUGAUGGAGAUUAUCUCCUCUGUUAAUUAUUAACACAUAAAUAAAGAUGUUUUUGAUUAUUUUCGUGUUGUAAUCAUGAGUUAUUUUUCGUUUAAUAAUCUGCCCGUCAUCGUCUGGUUGAGCAGGUUCUGGCCUGGCAUAUGGUUUUACCACAUGCCCUAGAAAAUUCUUCAAUGAUUGAGAUUCUGCUCGCCUUCGCGUGGUCGAGCAGAUCCUGGCACGCUUGGCUUCUGUCUCGCCAUAAACAGGCUUUGAGACUCGACGAGCCUUUGCAUGCCUUAGAAAUAUUUUUUUUUUUCGAUGCUUGGGGGUUCUGCUCGCCUUCGCGUGGUCGAGCAGACCCUGGCACGCUUGGCUUCUGUCUCGCCAUAAACAGGCUUUGAGACUUGACGAGCCUUUGCAUGCCUUAGAGAUUUUUUCGAUGCUUGGGGAUUCUGCUCGCCGUCACGUGGUCGAGCAGAUCUUGGCACGCUUGGCUUCUGUCUCGUCAUAAACAGGCUUUGAGACUUGACGAGCCUUUGCAUGCCUUGGAGAUUUUUUCGAUGCUUGGGGAUUCUGCUCGCCGUCACGUGGUCGAGCAGAUCCUGGCACGCUUGGCUUCUGUCUCGCCAUAAACAGGCUUUGAGACUUGACGAGCCUUUGCAUGCCUUAGAGAUUUUUUCGAUGCUUGGGGAUUCUGCUCGCCGUCACGUGGUCGAGCAGAUCCUGGCACGCUUGGCUUCUGUCUCGCCAUAAACAGGCUUUGAGACUUGACGAGCCUUUGCAUGCCUUGGAGAUUUUUUCGAUGCUUGGGGAUUCUGCUCGCCGUCACGUGGUCGAGCAGAUCCUGGCACGCUUGGCUUCUGUCUCGCCAUAAACAGGCUUUGAGACUUGACGAGCCUUUGCAUGCCUUAGAGAUUUUUUCGAUGCUUGGGGAUUCUGCUCGCCGUCACGUGGUCGAGCAGAUCCUGGCACGCUUGGCUUCUGUCUCGCCAUAAACAGGUUUUGAGACUUGACGAGCCUUUGCAUGCCUUGGAGAUUUUUUCGAUGCUUGGGGAUUCUGCUCGCCGUCACGUGGUCGAGCAGAUCCUGGCACGCUUGGCUUCUGUCUCGCCAUAAACAGGCUUUGAGACUUGACGAGCCUUUGCAUGCCUUGGAGAUUUUUUCGAUGCUUGGGGAUUCUGCUCGCCGUCACGUGGUCGAGCAGAUCCUGGCACGCUUGGCUUCUGUCUCGCCAUAAACAGGCUUUGAGACUUGACGAGCCUUUGCAUGCCUUAGAAAUUUUUCACAGUUUCAAGUGAAUGAAAUUCCUCGACGUUCCAUUAAUUGUAGGAUUCAACUUACAUGAAAAUGUUUGGUCGUAAAAUAAAUAACAGCAAAUACGAACAGAAAGAUCUUGAAAAUAUUAACGACUCUUACUGGAAAUAUUUCCUGAGAUGUGCUGCGUUCCAUGGGCGCUUCACCUCGUGGCCAUCCAUGCGAACCAGCUUGUAAGCUCCUGGUCCCACUAGCUGCUUGACUCUAUAUGGCCCCUCCCAAUUUGGACCGAGCACUCUUUGAGUCGAGUCUUUGGUGUUCUGAUUCACUCUCCUUAACACCCAAUCUCCGACCUUGAACUGCCGUAUGUUCACCUUCUGGUUAUAAUACCGGGCAACCCUCUGCUGGUAAAUGACUGAUCGCUCGGCUGCUUGCUCCCUCUUUUCCGUUAGCAGAUCAAGAUUCAAACAUAUCUGCUCGUCGUUCUCCUGUUCAUUGAAAUGAUAUGUCCGGUGCGUGGUCGUUCCUAUCUCAGUUGGCACGACCGCUUCAUGUCCAAAAGCCAAGGCGAACGGUGUCUCCCCAGUUGCUGUUUUGUGGGUUGUUCUGUAUGCCCAUAGCACACCUGACAGCUCAUCAACCCAUGCACCCUUUUUUGCUCCCAGCCUGGUUUUCAAAAGCCUCUUGAUGGUCUUGUUGGCUGCUUCUACUUGUCCAUUCGAUUGGGGGUGAGCAGGCGAGCAAUACUUCAGCUCUAUUCCGAGGUUCUGGCAGAAAUCCCUGAAGCUGUGAUUAUCGAAUUGUCUGCCAUUAUCCGUUACCAGGGCAUAAGGGAUCCCGUAUCGACAGACCAGGUUUCUCCACACAAAGUCUGUUGUUUUCUUCUCUGUGAUCUUGCUAAGGGCUUCUACCUCUAUCCAUUUCGUGAAGUAGUCUAUAGCAACUAUUGCAUGUGUUGCUGCUCCUCGUCCCUUUGGCAGCGGGCCGAUCAGAUCAAUUCCCCAUUGAGCAAAUGGCCAAGGGGAGGCCAUAGAGGUGAGCUUUUCUGGUGGUUGGUUGGAGAAACUUGCAAAACUCUGGCAACUUACACAGCUCCUGGUCUUCUCCUGUGCAUCCUGGUGCAUUGUCGGCCAGAAAUAUCCCUGCCUUAGAACCUUGUGGGCCAGGGACCUCCCACCAGAAUGAUUCCCGCAAAUUCCUUCAUGUACUUCUCUCAGUACGUAAUCUGCGUCGUCCUCAUCCAAACAUCGGAGGAAAGGUAGUAUAUAUCCUCGCCGAUACAGUACCCCAUCAAUCAUCGUGUAUCUUGAGGCCUGGGCUCUAACCUUCCGAGCUCGCAGCUUAUCUGGUGGUAAUACCCCGUCUCUGAGGUAUGAAAUUAUCGGGUCCAUGCACGAGCAUUUUUGUUCUAUCCGCAACACCCCCAAAUUCUGCUCGAUACUUGGGCUGGACUUCACCUCCAGAGGGACCGACUUUGGCAUUUUUGGGUCGGCUACUGCUGCCAUCCUGGCCAAAGUGUCUGCUCGACUAUUCUGCUCCCUGGGGAUCUGUAUCACCUCCACUGCUUCAAAUUUCCCCAUCAUCUGCCUGACUAUCUUCAGGUACUGCUCCAUCUUCUUCUCUCUUGGUUGGAAUCUUUCGCUGACAUGAUUCGCAACCAGCUGGGAAUAAGUUCUGAUCUUCACUCUGUCUGCUUUCACGGCCUUAGCCAAUUCCAAACCUGCUAUCAAGGCUUCAUACUCUGCCUGGUUAUUUGUGGCUCCAAAUUCCAACUUCACAACAUAAGAGAUCUCCUCCCCCUCCGGGCCUUCCAAGACAAUCCCUGCUCCAGAACCCUGCUCCCCUGAUGACCCAUCCACAUACAUCUGCCAUACUUGAGCUUCGCCACUGUCUGUGACUACAUCUGGUCCAUCUAAACAUACUUCGGGCUCUGUGAAUUCAGCUACGAAAUCGGCCAUUGCCUGAGCCUUUAUCGCUGCUCGGGGUUUGUAGUCUAUGUCGAACUCGCUCAGCUCUAUAGCCCACUUGACGAGCCGACCAGAAGCAUCUGGCUUGUGCACAGUUUGACGCAAUGACUGGUUUGUUAUUACCGAGACCGGGAAUGCUUGGAAAUAUGGCCUCAACUUCCGAGCCGCAACCACAAGGGCAAGUGCCCAUUUCUCCAACGGUGGGUAUCUGGUCUCAGCGUCGAGCAGGGCCUUGCUUGUGUAGUAUAUCGGAUACUGAACUCCUUCUUCCUCUCUCACCAGAACAGAACUGGCGGCCCGAUCCGAUACCGCCAAAUACAGAUAUAACUUGUCCCCAUCCCUCGGUGUGGACAGUAGUGGAGCUUGCUGCAAGUAUUGCUUCAAGUUCUGGAAGGCUUCCUCGCAUUCUGGUGUCCAUUCUGUUUUCUUUCCCCUCCUUAUCACUUAAAAGAAUGGCUGACACUUGUCUGUAACCUUGGAUAUGAAUCUGCUCAACGCAGCCAACCUCCCCGUGAGGCUCUGCAUCUCCUUCAGGUUACGAGGAGACCUCAUCUGCACAAUUGCCUGGAUUUUCUCCGGAUUUGCUUCAAUCCCCCUAUGGCUCACCAUGAAUCCAAGGAAUUUCCCUGACUCGACCCCAAAAGCACACUUCUCCGGGUUGAGCUUCAUCUUAUACUUCCUCAAAAGCCCGAAUGUCUCCUCGAGGUGCCUGACAUGUUCCUUCGAGAUUUUGGAUUUGGUGAUCAUGUCGUCCACGUACACCUCCAUGGUUUUCCCAAUCAACGGCUUAAAGACUUUGUUCACCAGCCUCUGAUAGGUGGCCCCAGCAUUUUUUAGACCAAAUGGUAUUACCCUGUAACAGAACAAACCCUGGUUAGUGAUGAAAGCCGUGCUCUCCUCAUCCUGCUCGUACAUGGGGAUUUGGUUGUAUCCCGAGAACGCGUCCAUGAAACUAAGCAGACCGUGUCCAGCCGUUGAAUCUACUAGUUGAUCGAUCUUUGGUAAAGGGAAGCUGUCUUUUGGGCACGCCUUAUUAAGGUCUGUGAAAUCCACACACAUCCUCCACUUGCCAUUUGCCUUCUUUACCAACACCACAUUCGAUAUCCAUUCAGGGUAAUUGACUUCCCGAAUGAACCCUGCUCUCAAGAGCUUCUCCACCUCGACAUUUAUAGCCUCAUACCUCUCCUGAUUGAAGCACCUCCUCUUCUGCCUUACUGCCCGAGCACCUUUCUUUAUUGCCAGCUUAUGACAUGCUACCUCAGGGUCAAUCCCUGGCAUAUCUUCAUGUGUCCAAGCAAACACAUCUGCAUGAGCCUGUAAGCAUUUCACUAACUCCUGCUUUUGCUCUCCCUUAAGUCUCGACCCGAUUCUGAUUGUUUUUCCCGGAUUCUCUGGUCCCAGGCUUACUGUUUCCAGAUCCUCUACAGGUUCUUGUCUGCCAUUCUUGUUUUCCACUCGGGUAUCGAGGGAUGUUAUCUGCAUUGCUUCCCUUGCUGCUGAGGAGUAGCAGCUUCUUGCGAUCCUCUGAUCUCCUCGUACCACUCCAACUACCCCAUUCACCCGGUACUUCAGAGCCAGAUAAUGGUUGGACAGCAUCGCUUUGCUCAUCCUCAGAAAUGGCCGACCUAGGAUCAUCUGGUAAGGACCUUCCUCAUCCACUACCAUAAAGUCCAGUAUCAUUGUCCUUUCUGUCGGGGAGCUCCCAAUCGUGAUAGGCAGCUCGACCAUGCCCAGAGGGACCAGCCUUCCUCCUCCAAACCCCUUCAAGGAGGUAUUGGUGUAAUCCAACUUCAGGUCUGCUAUUCUCAUCUCCUUCAGGGUUGACUUAAACAACACAUCAACUGAACUCCCUGUGUCAACCAGUAUCCUGUCAAACUUCUUGCUAGCAACAGUGGCCUUGAUGACCAAAGCAUCCUCGUGGGGGUAUAUGAUCCCUUCUUCAUCCUCAUCUGUCCACAUGAUUGGCACUUGCCUGACUCUUGCACGUUUGGCUGCUGGGGUGUUGAAGAAUACCUUUUUGCUGGUCAUGGCGUAUCUAGCAUAAUUUUUCCUCGAUCUGUUAGAAUCUCCGGCCAAUGUUGGGCCCUCAGCUAUAACCCUUACUGCAGGCUGCUCGCGCCUCAAGUUCCUGUCACUCUGCUCCCCUUCACUUGUUGAGGCUACCAUUGGGAAGGUCCCAUCUACGAACUCGUCCAGAUACCGAUUUCUCACUAAAUCUUCAACCUGGGUCUUAAGAUCUCUGCAAUCUGCUGUGGUGUGGCCAUGAGUGCCAUGGAACUUACAAUAGCGUCCCCUAUCCCUCAUGCUGGGUAGCUUGGUUAUUGGAGCAGGGAGGUAUAGCAACCCCCGAUCCUUUAUGGCCUCGUACACCUCGUCCAGGGACAUCUUCAAGGAAGUGUACCGCCCAUAGUCCUAGUUCUGGUCGAUCAGGUGUACUGCUCUUUCUCUGUUUGCUCCGUUCUGGGUUGGGGGCGGUGGCAGUACUUCUGGUCUGCUCCCUCUGCUACCGUGGGAGUGUUGAUGAGCACCAUAUGAUGAAUCAUGCCUUCUCCAAGGCUCCCUAGCUGUGGAACGAGGAGGCUGCGCCCUGCUGCGCUGAUACUGUGGUGGGCUCUGAUGAGGCUGGUAAGCAAUUACCCGACCUCCUGCUCCAUUACCCGAGGCCUGGUGGUCCCUCCUCCUGAUCGGCCCAUUCCCCGGUAAUGCUUUCUUCUCUUUCCUCCCCAACCCUUCUAACUGGUCUAUCUUAAUUCGUGCUGCCUUCUCCUCUUCAAUCUCAAUGUCUCUCUUAGCCUGCUCGUAUGCGGCCGCAUACGUCUGGAUAGCUGGGCUUCUCAAAUUGUACCACAGCCUUCCUAUCUUCACCCUUUCUUUCAAUCCCCUUAACGCCUGAGGGUGGUUGAAGGCUCCCAAGUCGAGGACAGCCCGAUGAAACCUCUUGAUGAAUUCCCGAAGGGUUUCUUGCUCCCCCUGUUUCAUGCUUUUCAGCUCCAUCAUGUCAUCUUCUGGGGCCAUUGCCCCACUAAACUGCUCUGCGAAUUCCUGGCACAUCUGCUCGAAGGUUUUAAUGCUGCCCCGAGGAAGUUUCCUGUACCACUCGCGUGCACGUCCCUCCAGGGAUAGUGGAAACACCCUGCACCUUUGGGGCUGAGAUAAUCCUUGUACCCCCGUUAUGUCAUUGAAGCGUUCUAUGUGCACCAGCGGAUCAGUUCGUCCCGAAUAUCUAAGGUCCGGGAGACGGAAAUCCCUCGGAAUAAUUGCCCUCAUGAUCUCUGCUGCGAGCAGUGAUUCUCCGUCCAGCAUUAUCCUCCAACCAGGAGCUCUGCUCCUUCCUUGCAUAUCGUCAAUUAUCUGCGCUAGUCUGCGCACUUCCUCCUCCAGCUGUACUGCACGACCAGGGUCACGUGCUGCAACUUGAUCCCUCUCUUGCUCUACAUCAUGCAAGUGUUGCCUCAACUCUGUUUCUUCUGCAUUCGCCACCCCGUCGUCCUCGUAAAAAAUCUGUCUUGCCGGGGAUUGCUCUUCUUCUCUAUGAAAUUCUCCCCGUAGAGGUAUGUUACCUCUCUCACCACUAAAUCUCCCGGUGGUUUGACUUCUCCUCGUACCAUCGGGACCUGGUGUCACUCCACCACCUCUCACCAUUUCCUCCUGGGUUACCCUUCGUUCACUCCGCAACUCAUGCAGGAUGGUUGUCAGGGUCUCCAUCUGCUUUUCCAUCCGUUCCAUCCGGUCGAACAUGGCUUUUUCCCGUGCUUCGCUGGCUAUCUCCCUCAGCGUUACAGAAUCGUUAAGCCUCAUAUCACCCCCUUGUGCACUACUUCCUCCUGCCUCCAUUGCUUUUCACUUGCUUCACUCCUCUUCUUGCUAUCAACAGAAGCUUUUUGCUCAGCUCCCCACAGACGGCGCCAAAAUGUUGAUGCGAGAUUCUGGUUACACUCUUCCGGCUACCAGGACAUCUGCUCAAUCAACCUCACCUCGACCAGGAUCUCUCCUCGUAUGCUUUCUUCUCCAAGUACUCCUGCGUUCACAGAAACAAGUCAGAGCACGCCGGUUGUUUUCCCGGCGUAAACCCUCCGACGCUCAAGUCAGAUAUGAAGGCUUUGGGAACGCUUGCCACAGAUCUUAUGGCUUUGGAAAUAGUUUUCUCUUCUUUUCAAUUUCCUUAAUCUCUAUUCUAAUCUCGAAAUUGCUAACCCUUUUACCUUCGCUGGCUACCUUUUUAUAGGCCACUUCUGAGCCCAAGCCUUUUUCCCUUUGCGCUCGUCAUCCUCCCACUUCUCGAAAGUGGAUGCUCCAUUUCUGUAGUCGUGGGUGGUUGCGUGGCCCUCGUGCCUAGAUUCUCAGACUGGAAAGCAUGCCACGCCAACUGUCGUUGACCGGGUCUUCUCGAAUCAACCCUUAGCAGGAAUACAGCAGGAAUGGCUUCAGGCUUCUUACAGGAGAUUGGCCUCGCGGAUGACGUGCUCGUGGACGAGCAGGGUAUUCCUGCUCCUGCUCCUGCUCCCCCGGAUGCCAGGCUCUUACGGGACCCAUCGGCUCGCAGAACUCUACCAUCAGAUAUCUGCUCAUCAUGCCUGGUCUCGUCGACGUAUUUCUCCCAAACACUUACCACAUAUAUGUCACCUUUCAAUCAAUUGUUGAAAAAUUCAAAUUUGGAAUUCAAAUACAUGCAUUCAAAUUUGGAACACUUUGAACGGUCCGAUUCAAAACUUCAUAUUCCAAUUAUAUUCAUAAGACAAAUGGAACACUUUGAACGGCUUGUGUCCGAGCAUUGUAGUUUGAUUUAUUUUGAUGACAUUACCUUUUGACAUUGAGAUUCUUUCAGGAUUUAAACAUUCUUUUUAAAACCAAAUUAUUAAAAAAAAAUAACUAACAUAUAUUAUUUUAUUAGUGCUUUUUAAAUCAAAUAUACAUAGGAGAACUGUAAUUCUUAGCAAUCAAUUUUCCACUAAAUACACCUGCAACAAACUAUUAAUAACAAAGUGAUAGAAAAUACCUGAUUUUUCAUACUUUCUAAUUUCUUUUGGUCCUAAAAUAUGGGCAUUUGUGUAAUAAUAAGCCCAUGUGGAUCUCUAUGCCAUGAGUUUGAUAAAUAGCUAUCAAGGAUCACUUAUUAAGCUAAAAAUAUUUGGAGGACAAAAUUGUAAAACUAAAAGGGUGGAGCAAAUAUGGCUAUCUAGGAUUAAAUAGUAAGUCAACUAUAUUUAAAGGAUAAAAUAUUAAAACUUGAAUUGUGAUAUUAAAAAUAUCUCAACUAUUAUAUUAUUAAACCAUAUGUUCUAAUAGUUUUUUUUUUAAGCUUCAAAAUGUUCAGGAUUUUAGAUUGAAACAUUUUCAAUUGAAAUAAUUUGGUGCAGUCACAAGUUAAGAAAGAAAAAGUUGUCCCAUUGGUCAUUUCACAAAAAUGAAAGCCCUGUAUAACAUGGACGUGAAUGGAAACCCAAUUGUUUGUGUUUGAUUAAUUGAUUUCAAGCUUUAUCUAACCUUUGGACCUGGAUACUUUACUGCGGCCUCUAAGCGCUAUAAAUUUUUUUGGGGAUAAACGGCGCUUCAAUGAGGGCAUCUCCAAUGCUUAACACCAUUUUGGUGUAACACCAACAUUAAAAAUAUACAUUUUUCACACUAAAUUACUAUUUCAUCUCCAACCCAUUUACACCAAAUUUUACACCAAAAAUAAUAUUUUUUUUAUUCUUUUAAUUCUCAAGAAUUAAUUCAAUUAACACAAUAAAUACUACUAUUAACAUAGAUAAUUAAGUAAUAAGUAAUUUUAUCAAUUAACAAAAAAAAUAGAAAAUUAUUAAAUUUGCAUUUAAUUAACUAAAUUAGUACAUUAUGAAAAUUAAACAUUACAUUAAUAUAGAAAAAUACAAUAAAAAUAAUAAUAAUUUUAUAUCUAAUAUUUUGAUGAUAUUGGAGGAUCUAAUAAUGAUCUUCCAGAUUAUUAAAUAAUUGUUCUAAUUUAUACUAGUAGUAGUAGCUUUUUUAAUUUGUGUUAAUUUAAUUUUGUAAUAUGUAAUAUAGUAAUUAAUGUUAUUGGCAUUUUAUUUUUAUUAUUAAUUUUUGUGUUGAAUUUUUUUAUUUAAAAUAUUAGUAUAAUAUUAAAAAAUUAAAAAUGAAAUAAAUAAUAACAAAAAUAAUAAUAAUAACUUAAAAUAUUAUAUAAAAAAGGACAUAUAUGUAAAUAAGAAAAAGUAAUAAAGAUAUUUAGGACUCUUUUUUCCUAGCACCAAAUGAAUAGUGUUACACCAUAUUUGGUGCAAUACUAUUCAUAACACCAAUUUGCUGUUCGUUUUGAUGUUACAUUGGAGAAGCAUUUUACACAAAAAAUGGUGUAAAAGGUAGUUUGGUGUUAGUUUUGGUGUCACAUUGGAGAUGGCCUGGAAAAACACUUGAAAACUUUGGAUUUUUGGUUCGUCCAGUUACGGUGUUAUGCUAAUGGGGUUAAAAGUUCCGAUCCAAUGAGUUAGGAUGGAAUAUGAAUAUAUAAAUUCCAUAGCAUGUAAGGACUAGGAUUUGUUUGUUCAUAUCAAGAAAAAAAAGAUCCGAAAAUUUGAUGAUCAGAAGAUGAAGACACGUUUAUUACAGAGAAACAAACGACAACAUGAUACUAGUAGUAGUUAUUCUUUUCAUCCGAUAUAUUACAUGGUAAUAUCACUACUCGUUCCACUGGUUUCAUAUACACCAUCGAUCAGCAACAUGAUAAUUUUGUGUCAGUUCAUUUUGUUUGUAGGAAAGAGCAGUGUAUUUCUUAGAGCUUGAAAAUAAUAAAAAGAUUUUAAAAUAUAAAUUGCAUAUUUGUUUAUUACAGUUGUUUGGUCUAAUUUCUUAUGUAGAAUUGCUUGUCAUUCUUUGGACGUUAUUGAUUAUAUUUUUGUCAGACUUGGCGUAUAUAUUCACACAUACGUUUUAUUUUGUCAUUUUGUAGAACAUUUUUACACGCCAUAUUAUCACGACUCUUCUCUGUCUGAAUAAGAAGAAAGCAUAAUGCGACCCUCCAAUAGCUUAAUCUAUGGAAUUAUCGUGUUUUGUAAGUUGAGGUCCAAUGGCGUUUUGGCACAUCAUAUGAUAGCCCACUAUAUUGCGUUGCUUUACAAAAGAUUAAUAUUUUGAAAAUUAUUAGGUAAGUUUAGGCUCAGUGGCACUUUAACUCAUGAUAUGAUUGUCCAGGUUUUCGAGGACCACUAUAUUCUAUUGAUUUAAAAAAAAUUAAUAUUUUUUAAUAUUAAUAUUCUAAAUUAUAUUCAGUUCAAAUAUUAAAUAUUAAAUACAUUCUUAAUAUUAAUAUUCUUAGAUGAAAUUCUUUUGCUGACUUAAGAAUAAAAUAUUAAAUAAUUUUAUUUUUCUUUUAUUCUGUAACGUGGACCCAAUAAAAAAAGGAAAUGAAUUUAAUAAAACCUUCAUUCAAAAUCUUCAUUCCGCCACCAUGCAUGUUAAUUGUUUCCAAAUUCCAACCUCCGUACUCUCUUGAGGAGUUUCCCAUUCAUCAAUUAUUAUUUUUUAUAAUCCAUACCAUCCUGAUAUAAUUAAACACCAUUAAUAAUGUACCAACCUUUAAAUAGUAAUUAAUUUAUUUAUCUAAUUCACCAAAUGUUUUUUCCGGUACAUAUCUCCAUUGGUAUCAAGAAGAAGCAGAACCCAAAGAAAUGUUUCUUGCAUCUUCAUAUUUGUGCGAAUUCAUCCUUUCAUUGAGAAUAACCAUUUCCAGGCAGCAGUUGGCAAUCAAUUCAUGCGCACGUCGAUGCUAUUCAUAGAUACUAAAGACAAUGAUGAACCAAAGGUGAUAAAUCAUAAAUGCAUAAUUACCAAACCUCCAUCCUUCUCUCAUUAUGAUUUGAUUUUAAAUGAAUUAUUGCUUGGUAACAUUAUUUCCAACCAUUGCAAGACCUUUUUUUUGGAGAAAUUUCAAUUGAAAGUGAAACCUUUAGACAUUUACCUAAUGAAGUUAGUUAAUCGGGAGGGUCGGAAAAAAAAAGUUGACGCAAGUCAAUACACAAUAAUCAAUUAAAUCCGGAGUGACUAAAACAGAGCCACUACUUUUUAAAAAAUAUCUGCAUUAAUCACUUUCUCCAGCAACUAGUCAGCUACACACGAAUCAAUUUCUCUCCUCGUUUGUCAUCCAAAAUUAUUCACCAAUACCAUGGCUGAUGCAAUCGUUUCCACUAUCUUGGAGCAGCUGAUUUCCUUCGCUGCUGAAGAGAUAAAACAACAGGUGAUCGAAGUUUCACCCCUCAUAUUACAAAUACUUCCAAUGAUUUUAAUUGGCUUUGUUUUUAUCAAAAACAUUAUAUAUUUUUGCUUUUUUUUUAUUUAUCUGAUAAUUUUAUAUUUUGAAAUUUGAAUUGAAUUUAAUUAAAAGGUGAUGUAGUAACCACUCAUUUUUAUUUUAUUUCAUUUCUAUUCUCGAUAACUAACCAUAUUUUGGUAACUUAAUAUGACUCUCGUACAUAAGAAAUGAUCAAAACCCACAAUUUUAACUAUGUAUAAAUAUUCAACGUUGAGCUAAGGUUUUGCAGAACAUUCAAGUUUAUCAAAUAGUCAUUAAUUUAAUGUUUUAGUAAAACCUCAACUCAUCACUGAAUCCCAUAGCUAUUACUUAGACUCUAUGAAAAAUUUCAUAGUUUUCUUACAUUCUUUCAGUUUGGUAAGUGAUUUCAUAUAAUUUCUGUUCAAUAUAAAUUUUAAUUUGGUUUCUUAUAUACUCUCUUUGCUGAAUUUGUAUCUUUUAUGAUUCUUAGAUUUUGGGCUCUAACAUUUUAGGAUUUGAUAGUCACAUUUUAUGCCAUGCUUAGAUUGAUUUUCAUGAUUUUUACUACCCAUUAAGUGACUUAGAAUUUGACAAAAGUUUGAAAGGAAAUCUGCUUCAGGAUUCUGUUUUAAUUGACCUUUUAGUGGAAAUAGGAUGCUUAUAACUUAAUGUGGAUGGUUCGUAAAAUCAUGAAAUUUGGAUAGAAUUAACUAGAAAUAUGUACAAGACUCUCCAUGAAGUCUCAUAAUUUUUCAUUCGGUCUGGGGUGGUACAGGUGAAACUUGUGGUUGGUGUUGAAAAAGAAGUGAAAAGCCUUACCAGCCAUCUUCAAGCCAUUCAAGUUGUGCUCGAUGAUGCAGAGGAAAAGCAAGUGAAGGAAAAAGCUGUUAGUCUUUGGCUGGGUAGGCUCAAGUAUGCAUCCUACGACAUUGAAGAUGUGUUGGAUGAGUGGAUCACAACAAGACGCAAAUUGCAAAUUGAGGGUGGCAUUGGUGAAAAUGCUCUUGUUGUUCCUCAUAAGAAAAAGAAGGUAUGUCUCUGCUUUCCCGGCUCUUGUUUUGGAUUCAAACAAGAAGAAUUUGGUUUCAAACAAGUCUUUCUCCGUCAUGACAUUGCCGACAAGAUCAAAGAAAUCAAUGAAGAGCUACAUGAUAUUGCCGCUCAAAAAGACAUGUUUGAUCUUGUUAAGAGUGGCAAUAAAAGUAGUGAAAGACCAAGGCGUGUACAGAGUACCUUCUUGAUUGAUGAGGAAGAGAUUUGUGGCAGAGUUGGUGAGAGGAAUGAACUCUUAAGCAAGCUGUUGUGUGAGAGUAGCGAGCAACAAAAAGGCCUUCAUAUCAUCUCAAUCGUUGGUAUGGGAGGCAUAGGGAAAACAACUCUUGCACAACUAGCUUGUAAUCAUGACGAGGUGAAGAGAAAGUUCGACAAAAUUCUGUGGGUGUGUGUAUCAGAAACUUUUGAGGAGUUUAGGGUUGCCAAAGCGAUCGUUGAAGUUUUGGAUGGUCGUGAAUCUCAUUUAGCUGAAUUCCAUUCUCUUCUUCAACAUAUUUAUGAAUCCAUUGCAGGGAAGAGCUUUCUUCUUGUCUUAGAUGACGUGUGGGAUGGAAAUUACUUGAAAUGGGAACCAUUCUACCGUUGUCUAAAGAAUGGUCUCCAUGGAAGUAAAAUUUUAGUUACCACACGUAAAGGGUCAGUCGCAUCCAUGAUGGGAUCCAUAGAUAUUAUCUCCGUUAAGGAGUUAGCUGAAGAGGAAUGUUGGUUGUUGUUUAACAAGAUAGCAUUUUUUGAUCGGUCCAUCGAGGAACGUGAAAAAUUAGAACAAAUUGGGCAAAGAAUUGCAGGCAAGUGCAAAGGUUUACCUCUUGCAGCAAAGACAAUAGGGAGUCUCAUGCGUUCUAAACAAACUGAAGAAGAGUGGAAAAGAAUUUUAAAUAGUGAUUUAUGGAAAGUAGAAGAGAUUGAGAAAGAUGUUUUGUCCUCUUUAUUGUUGAGUUAUAAUGAUUUGCCAUCUAGAGUAAAAAGAUGUUUUUCAUAUUGUGCUGUCUUUCCAAAAGACUACAAUAUAGAAAAAGACAAACUAAUCACGUUAUGGAUGGCUCAAGGUUAUCUUAGUGCAGAAGAAGAUGAAGAGAUGGAGACAGUAGGUGAAGAGUAUUUUGGCAUCUUAGCUUCUCGCUCAUUUUUUCAAGAGUUUAAGAAAAGUUAUGAUAAUCGGAUUAUAGAGUGUAAGAUGCAUGAUAUGGUACAUGAUUUUGCCCGAUUUGUAAGUCAAAAUGAAUGUUUUUCGAUGGCAAUCAAUGGUAGUGAAGAACCAAACGCCACAAACUCUCUUGAUGAGAAGGUCCGUCAUUUAAUGUUAAUCUUUAGUAUAGAGGCUUCAUUACCUGUUUCCACUUGUAGAGUUAAAAGAAUUCGUAGCCUCUUAAUUAACGAUAGUAGAUCUGAUCAUUCAUUAUUAAAUGGUGAGAUCCUAGAAGAAUUAUUUAGGGAAUUGACAAGUUUAAGGGCAUUAGAUUUUUGCAAAUCGUAUAACGCAAGUUGGUCUUCGACUCUGGAGAUUCCGAGAAACAUAGAAAAGCUGGUACAUUUAAGAUACCUUAAUUUGUCUUAUCAGGGAAUAAAGAAACUACCGGAGACAUUAUGCGAGUUGUAUAAUCUAGAAAAGUUAGAUAUUAGUUAUUGUUAUAAGCUAGAAGAAUUACCUGAAGGGAUUGGGAAGUUAAUAAACAUGAAGCAUUUACGAAAUAGAGGUACUAGUUCUUUAAGGUACAUGCCAGUAGGGAUUGGGAGAUUAACGGGUCUUAGGACCUUGGGUGAGUUCCACGUGAGUGCAGGAGGAGGUGUUGAUGGUAGGAAAGCAUGUAGGCUUGAAUCUCUUAAAAACUUGGAACACCUUCAAGUAUGUGGUAUAUGUAGACUGGGUGAUGUAUCAGAUGUGGGCGAGGCUAAGCGAUUAGAACUUGACAAAAAGAAAUACCUCUUCAGUUUGACCCUCGAGUUUGAUAAGACGGAAAGAGGAGGAGAAAGGAGGAAGAACGAGGACGAUCAACUUCUUCUUGAAGCCUUGCGACCACCCCUGGAUUUAAAGGAAUUAGAGAUACGGUACUACCGAGGCAACACUGUUUUCCCCAGCUGGAUGGCGUCAUUAACCAACUUAAAGAGUUUACAUCUCCAUAGGUGCGAAAAUUGCGAGCAGCUGCCUCCUUUGGGAAAAUUGCCGUCCCUUGAAAAUCUCUACAUAUGGCGCAUGGAGAGUGUGAAGAGAGUGGGUGAUGAAUUUUUGGGGAUAGAAAGUGAUCAUCAUGACUCAUCGUCAUCUUCAUCAGUUACUAUUGCCUUCCCCAAAUUGAAAUCACUCACAAUUUAUUCGAUGCUGGAAUUGGAGGAGUGGGAUUAUGAGAUUACAAGAACAGGAAACACCGUCAUCAACAUCAUGCCACGUCUUUCUUCCUUGACAAUUGUUGAUUGCACCACAUUAAAGGCACUGCCCGACCACAUUCAUCAAACGACAACGUUGAAGGAAUUGAGCAUUUUUAUGUGUUGGCUUCUGAACAAACGUUACCGCAAGGGGAAAGGAGAAGACUGGCCUAAAAUAUCACACAUUCCCAACCUCCGUAUUGGGCUUUGACAAGUAAUUUCUUCUCUCACUCUGAUUUGCUUUGUUGUUGUUUUUAAUCUAAUUAAGAAGCGAAAAUAGCAUUUUGAAUCAAACUCUAUAUCAGAAAUCUGCAAUACUUACUUUCUAAUAUUCUGAUUUUCAUAUCCUAUGAAUAUACGAUUUUUAAUUUGUGAGAUGGGUAACGUUACUGUAAAAGAUUAUUAAUGCAAUAUGAGUAAUUCUUUUGCAGGACAAGUGACCUACAUUUAGUUUGGCUUUGGAGUUGAAUAAUAACCUUUCGUGGUCCCGACAACCAAAAAACAAAGCUUAAUUUGCCACAGAUUGAACGUAUUGCCAUUAUUGACAAUUUUCUGCACAAGCGUGACUGAACUUAGGUUGAUGUCAAAAGAGGUAAAUUAUUGGCAUGCCUGACUAUUUUGACCAUUACAUGAUUCAUAAGUUUACAUUAAUUUUGAUUUUGAGUUGAGUGAUUAGUUUUCUAGGUUUGCUUACUUUAACUGGGUGACCAAUUUCUUGUAACUAAAUGUAUGAUGUGAUGCAGGAAGCAGGGCAGGAUAUGAAAAGAGAAGCUUAUUAGAGGAAGGAUUGCCAGUAACAGAAUCCAAAGAAAAAGAAACCAUUUCGAGGCAGCUGUUGGCAGUUGGCAGUGAAUGGAGCCCCUUGAAAAAAUUCCCAGGCCGUUGCACUGCAAUUACGAUCAUCCUCGGCCUCAGGUAAUUUCUUCUCCUGCAUUUUUGUUAUUUGCUAUCAAGUGACUAUUUUAAGUAUGAUUGCAUUAAGCUUCUGCUGGGAAAUUUGAGGUUUUGAUGACUGCCCAUGCUAUUGUCAGAAGCUGCGGUUCUUUUCAUCAGCCUGAACCUGGACCUGCCGCUAUGGAUAACUCAGGUUUUUUUUUUUUUUUUAAUCAACUGCCAUCUUUUCCACUGUUUAGAAACUCUUAAGAUUAAACUUUAGUAAAGUUGUUUUAGUUAUCCAUGUAAUCAGGCUGAGGAUACUUAGCUGCCUAUUUAGGCAAAUGUCAGAAUUUAGUUUGUUCGCUGGGAACUGGUGUGGACUGGCAAAGGAUGAUGAGAUAGUUUUUUGAGUGAGUAAAUUUUGGGAGCUUGAGUGUAUUGGGAUUUGCAAUUACAAUCAUCGUCUGCCUCAGGUGAUUUCUUCUCCUGCUCUGUCAUUGUUUGUUCUCUAAUUCAAAAGCAUAAAAUAUUUCAAUCAAUUUUUAUGCCAGGAAUAUGCAAAAGUUUCUAAUAUUUUAUUUCCAUCUGUUACAAGAUCAAACUGAAGCAGAACUCAAACAAAAGUAUGCUACUUCUUGCGGAAAUCUUGCCUUUGUUCAGAUUAUGAAACCAUUUCCAUGCAGCAAAUUCAUCCAAAAGUUUGAAUAAGUUUCAUGGUUGGACACUGUUGGCUUCUUUUUCUUCUGGGGUGCAUUUAGGUGCUAUCAAGUGACAGCUGUAAGUAUGAUUGCACUAAGCUGCCGCUGGGAAAUUUGAGGUUUUGAUGGCUGCCCAUGUUAUUUUCAAGAAACUAUUGAUGUAAGAAGCUGUGGUUCUUUUCAUCAGCUUGAACCUGAAACUGUCGCUAUGGAUAACUCAGGUUUUUGUUAUCAACUAUAUCAUCUUUUUCACUAUUUUGAAACUCUUAAGAUUAAACUUUAGUAAAGUUGUUUCAGCUAUUCAAAUGAAAAACUCAUUGAUUUGAGACUUCCUUCAUUAUUGUUUCUAAUUACAAUGCUAACGAUCCAGAUAAAAUAAUAUUUAAUCGGCGAAGGUGUCCCUUGGAAGUACAUCCUUCUUUUUCUUUUAUUAUAUAAAUUCUUGCAAUGAGCUUAGUGAAGCUGUUGUGCUAAUCAUGCCACUGCAUAAUUUGGCCCCUAAUGUGGGUACUCUGUUACAUUGUUCUGCAAAUUCUCCAGAAGUUAAAAUCAAUAAAUUUUCUAUUAGCUCUAGUGCUUUGACCUAAAUGCCAUUCUAUAUUUUGAUUACAAUGUUUUAACCUUUAAAUUAACUACCCCUAGAUGUUGGAUUUUCUAGAACUUCAAAAUGAUUAAUGGAGAAAGAUCCCAUUAUCGUUAUUGCUAUAAGAAAUUGAUUUAUGCAUCCAAAGAUACAUUAUAUAUUUCUGUGUCUCUAUUUGUAGAUGACAUUUAAGCAUCCAUAAACCGUCAGACAGAGGAAGGGGGUUCAGUGCAAAGAUUCUGUUGACCUAGGGUUGACUGCAUAAUGUCACUUGUUCGCAAUCUAUUAUUUAUUUUAUAUUUUGAAGAAUUUAAUGGGUAAUCCUAAUUGUUUGUUUUGGCAGGUAUGUGUUGUUAUCUCCUUCUAUCUAACAGUCGUACCUAAAUAGCAUAGUUUCAUCUGUGUUACCAUGUGAUGUACAUAAUUUCACAUUUGCCUCAGAUUAAGCUUAAUUUCCCACAGAAUAGAGCUGUCGCGACUGGACUUAGGUUGAUGUCCAAAGAGGUAAAUUAUUGGCAUGCCUAGAUAAUUUGGCCAUUUCCUAAUUCAUAAGUCUACAUUAAUUUUGAUUUUGAGUUGACUGAUUUCUUUUCAAGGUCUGCUUCCUUAACGGAGUGACCAAUGUUUUUCAACUAAAUUUAUCAUAUGAUGCAGGAAGCAGGGCAGGAUAUGAAAUGAGAAGCUCAUUGGUGGAAGUAUUGCCAGUAACAGAACCCAAAGAAAAUGAAACUAUUUCAAGGCAGCAGUUGGCAGUUGCAAGUGAAUGGAGGCCCUGACAAAAUUCUCAAGCGGUUGCAAUGCAAUUACGAUCAUCCUCAGCCUCAGGUAAUUUC
rnacentral:lncRNA from 1 species